CUCACUUUCACAUUGUGCAGCAGUGCAAUUACGUAAUAAUAAAUUCAUCAUACAAUAAAGUAUAAACAAGAUGAUAACAUAAAGAGUUUCCUCCAUCAGAUGCCUAAUAGACGCAACACUUUUCACUCUUUUUCUUUUUUCAAGUGUAUGUAAGCUAAUUAAAGACCUUUACUUUAAUAUGCGUGACAUGGAUUGAUCAACCUUCUCUAGAUGACGGUCAACUUUGCAAUAUUUUGGUCAUUACAAUCAAGGAUGUGUUUGGGGUGGAUGAAAACAUAAAAAAGAUUUCUAAUUUUCUUAUCUUUGAUUGAUAAAAAUUACGGAAGGCGAGUUUUUUUAAAAUGAAGAAGAUGACUUUUAAUUUUUGUAAAAGUACAAAAACAACUUUCAACAUUUGAUUGUCUCACCCUUCUCAACCUUACCAUCAUCACAACCACUUCCUCAUAAGUCACACCGGUAUCCUUAUAAUAUCAAUCUAGAUUAUAUAUAGAUAUGUUUAAAAUAACAAGUAAGAAAACCACUCAUUAUCUUGCAAAAACAUUUACCGUCGUACCAAUCACACCCAAAAGUCUUGGUCAAUUUUCGAUCAUCAUAAUAUAUAAAACCCGAAUCAAAUAAAAACCAAUCGUAACACUUAACUAAAUAAAAGGGGGCCCACCUAAAUAAAGAAGAUGAAGAUCUUACGUUAUUAAAGAAAAGAAAAAGAAAGAUAGAAGAAAGGUGAAAAGGCAGUGAGAAUGUGUUAACGUGGAAGGGGGGCAGGUCUCAUCAAAAGAAGUUCCCCUCCACUUCCCACUACUAUUACUGAAUGAAUGUUUGUUUGUUGUUUACUUUCUUUAUUUCAGUGGGCCAAAAUCCAAAAGUAGUCAUCCACUUCAAAGGCCUAAGUUCAUUUUUCUGAUGUGGAAGGGGGCCAUCAAGAGGACUUAAAGCAACUUCUUCACCCUAGAAAAGUAUGGAGAAAGAAAAAAGGAAACAUGAAUAGGAGAAAUAGAAUAUGAAAUAGACCAUAACUAUAGAGCGUGCAGGCCACUUAUGUAUAAUUCCAUUAUCUAUAUAAUUAUUCUAUAUCCAUUAUAUCACUAAAGACUAAACACCUUUUGUUAGAUUCCCAAACUUUAAUGGCCGUCCUAAGAUUCUAUGGUCCCAACCAAAGAUAACGACCCCUUUUUGCCCCACUAUAUUCACUUAAACUCUAACCUAGCUACUCCUCCUCCUUUGAUUCCUUCAAGUACCCUAUGAUCAUUUUCUUGUUUUGUCUCAAGAUGAUAAUCAGACCAAUUUACGGACAUCUUGAUUAUUACACAAAUACAAAUAAAUGAGAAGAAAUCACAUAAUAUUUUUUAUUUCCACUAAAAUUUGAACCAGAAAAUUUCAAUAGUCAUUCUCCCAUAUCGUAGUUUUGAUAAUUGUUUCUUAUUUUAAAGAUCAUGACACAUAUAGGCUUAUAUCAUCCUUUGGAACCUAAUACCUACUCCAUCAAGACAUAAGUUUAGACCAAACACAUGACAAAUUCCAGUACUUUCAAGAAGCUACUGAGUUUCAUGAAGAUCAUGUGUGCUAGCUAUUUGUCCUGUUGUUCUCCUACUUAACCAUAAAGACAAUAGAAUCCAGAUGGUUUACUUUUGUGCGGUUACUCUUAAACAAUAUUGGCAGUUUGUCAAUCAUCUAUGAUAUGACUAAUGGAUGUAUUAGCAACCAAACAUAAUUUGGUUGACUAUUGGAUGUAUUAGCAAUCAAGACAUAAUUUGGUUUGGAUUGUACCAACCAACUCCUCACAGAAGGGAUUACCACUUAAUUACCGAUCACCACCAUAUAAAUUUUCAUUGUAAUCAACAACAUCAAAAAGAUUUAAAUUAUACACACAUAGAAACAAUCGAUGUAAUUUAACCAUGAUUUAAAUUAUAUGCACCUAUAAAAGACCAUUGUGAUUAACUUGCUAUGGCAAAUUAUUUUUUUAAAUUUUUAUGGUAUCUCUACUAACUUAUUUAACGUGAUAGACUAAAAUAGUGGAGUAUUAUACACUAAAAUAGUACAAAAAAACAAAAAAACUUAAAUGAAAAACCAAAUUUUCUUUCUUGAAUGCCGAAACCAAUCGCCAAUGUUAACAAAAGGUUUAAUCAUAUCCUAGAGAAUUAGUUUUUUACUACAAAUUAAAAGCUCAAAAAUUCUAUUCAUCAUUUAAAUUAAAAAAAAAAAAGGUACCUUUCUUGAUUCCAUAUCCACUCCAAACAAAUCCACUAACUAAAGUGAGAGAGAAAAUAGGAAGAUCUUGAUGGUGACUCACCACCCACAGCACCAAUUGGUCCUAAUUUAAUUUAAGGCUUCCAUGCACUGGCCCACACUACCGGUUGUUCCUUCCAUGACAAGAAUAUUCCGGCGGCAUCUCCGCCACCACACUGUCCCAUUGACCACCCUUCUUUAUACCUUCUCAAUAAAGCCCUAACAUCAUCACAAACUUCAUCACUAUAUGAAACUGGUAUGAACCCUCCUCCAUGCAUGCGAUUUGACCAUUUUACCCCCGUUUCCCGCCUCUCCAUUGACUCUGAUGGUGGGCAUGCUAGUAAAUCAACGAUGGAUCGUCCCGCUUGUCGCUCUAGCAUCAAACGUUCGUUACUUGUUUUCGAAAAACUCUCGUCUAACGACUCAAAAUAAACCCUAAUCCAUUUCAAACAUUCUUGAAAACCUUUGACAAAAUCGAAACCAUCAACACCAACAUCAAGAUCAGCUUCUUCUUCAACUAUAGUAACAAUCCUAGGUUGCAAUCUCCUAAACAAUGAUAUUAAAUAAUCCCUUCGAUUGCCGGCUGGCGUAACCGAAUGUAACGCACCAAUACAAUUAAUUGCUAAAGCUUCAUCUUCUUUAAUAUCUAACGCACCAAUAUCCAAUUCAGAUAAAUUUCCCAUAUGGUGAAUCACAUUGAAUUUAAAAGGCACGCCCAUAAGCCUAGCAAAUUUUUCCAUUCUACUACCAAUCUCCUUCAUCACUUUUUGCACCGACGAUGCUCCUCCGGUUGCACUGCUGGCGGAAACCACCGUGGUGAGACGGAGAUGAGGUGUUUCGUCGGUGCGGGUAGCAAGUGCUUCUAGCAAAGUAGGCCAUUGAGUACAAUAAGUAUUGCUAAUAUCAAUUAUAUGCAACUUGCUCUCACCUUCUAAUGCUUCCAUAAUUGCACCAUUGGAUGCAACGUGACCAAAAGUUGUCCAAGGGCUAACUUCCUGGAACUUUAAAACUAACUUCCUUGUUGACUCGAACGAACAUGUUUUAUCCGAAGCAGACAACAACGUUCGAUAACAACGUUCGCCAGAAUCCGUCAUGCGGCUAAACAAUGCUUGAAGAAAAUAGGAGGCUAAUUUUUGCUCAGUGUCUCCAUAGGGUGAACUUAGCUCAUUCAACAUCCACAUGAGCUGUUGGACACGUGUGCUGUUCUUAUCCGCUAUUGCACGGGCAGUUUCUAGAAGGAUGUCCGUUGCCCAUUUCCCCGAAAAUGAGGAAGCAAAUUCGAGAUUUAAGUCACGUGCUGGGGAGAACUGAUGAUCAUAGUGAUGAUGAUGAUGAGAUUGUUGUGUUGGGGUGCUGCUAGUGGUUGUUGGUGUGGGAGUGUUGGAAAUUUGUUGUUGUUGUUGUUGGUAGUGAGUAUAGUGAUGAGAAGGGUAGUUGGUGUGUUUAGAAGAGGAAGAAGAGAAAUCAUCUUCAUCCAUGAAAAAGUUGAAGCAUUCUUCGUCUUGAUGAUCUUGAUGAUGAGGGUGGUAAUUGUAAAUAUUGUAUGUGUUUUGUUUGUUAGAAGAUCUAGAGCUGCUUGAAGUUCUGCUAGAGUUAAAGGAAUACUGAUCAGAUUGUUGUUGUUGGAUUUGUUGCUGUUGUUGUUGUUGUUGAAGGGUAACUAAUCUAAACAAAGUAUCCAUUUAACUAAAAAAAUUUCUCUUGCCACCAACAUCAAAGUUAAAAAGAAUAAAUGUACACAAGACUAGUAAUACCUUUUAGUGAUUCUGUUGGAUGGUUCAAAGCAAAAGAAGUGGAGUUGUUGGAGGAAAGAGUGGGAGAAUUUCAAAAGCAUAUCUCUCUCCAACUUGGAUUGUAGCAAGGUUGAGCCUAUUUACAUAAUUAAAGAAAGAGAGAAGUAUAUAGUGGGCAUAGAGAAGAAUAAAAAGAGACAAGUAAAAAAACUUCACUGUGCUUUUUCUUUUUUACCGAGGCACUCGAUCGGUGAUAAGAAUGGAAUAAUAUAAGAAUGAAAUAGGGAUUUGGUUGUGCUAUAUUCUUCUUUAAGGGAAGUCAUUCAAAUAGACAUGAAAAUAGUUUUUUUCUUUUUGCCGUUUAUGACAUGGAGAUAUAGAAAUGAAAUUUUCUGACAAAAAGAUAUAGAUGGUGUUGUGUUAGUAAUAAAGAAAUAGGGAUAAAGGUACAAAAAGAAUACUACUAGUAUUAGGUUUGAUACACAUAGAAAAGAGGGGAGUAUAAGUGAGUGGGAGCAUGCAGGCGUGACAAAUUAAAAUCCCAUUUUGAGGGGAAAGAGGAAAAAGAAAGAGACAUACAAGGAAAAGCUGCCGGCGUGCAUCAUCGUUAUGAUUCAACAAUUCAUUAUCAAACCCACCACCACCCAAUGCCCCUUCAUUAUUAUUAAGCAUUAUACAUGAAAGUGCCCCUUUAACUCGGCGUUAGCUUGGGUUUGUGUCCGCAAACUUUAAAUGUGUACGAAUAGAUAUUUAAAUUUGAAUGAAUUCACAAGCUCGUCCUAUGUGGCAUAAGACAUGCAGGACUUCACAUAAGAUGUGAUAUUGCUACGCAGAAUGUCAUGUAGGACGCAUGUGUCUAUUUAUUCAAUUUUUGUACAAAUUUAACUGUCCACUUGUACACAUCAAAAGUUGAAGGGCGUACAUAUCAGUUGAGACCAAGUUAAAAAAUACGUUUGUGUGCUAUAAUACUCCCUUAUUAUUACUCACUGCAUUUUAUGUGAUACAGUUAAAUUUUUAAAAUUUAAACUCUUAAUAAUCGUCAAUUAGGACGUAGAAGUAUUACGUUUUUUAAAACAAAAUUUAUACAAUUGAAACUAAACACCUAAUAAAAAUUUUGAUUGACUCUCAAAAUUUCUAAUUGUCACACAAAUUGAAAGUAGGUAGUAUUAUUAUUUUACGUCCUUUUGCCUCCUAAUCCAUCUUCAAAGCCUACCAAAAGAACAACCAACAAUAAAAAGAUGAAAAUUCGAUACCUUUUUUUUUCGCCUUUCUUUUACUUGUACAAUAACCCAAUACAAUAUGAGACAUCAUUAAAAAUGCUUAUCAACUUUGAAUCCGAUACUAACAUUGGACAAUUAACUUAAAUCCAGGGCAUGCUCCUUCACUUUUCUCCCAGCCCCAUAACAUAUUUAUCAUCACCACUACAUCUAGUUACUAACUAGGCCAUGCAUUUUCCUAGACUAGAUAAUGCUACUUCUGCCUCGCCUUCUUGUGACAAAAAAGAAAAUUGCUUAAUCCAUGCUCUUAUUCCAUUGCACUAGUGGUAUAGUGUUGAAAGAAUAACUCAAAAGUUAAUAUUUUAAUUCAGGAUAGUGCUAAAUGGCCACAAAAAUUUGGCUCAAAUCGGGCCACAAUAAUAAAAAGACUAUAUUAUCCUUUCUUUUAAAUAGACAAAGUUAUUUAAUUAUUAAAGUAAAAAGGUAAAAAUAUCCAAAAAUUAAUUAAUUCAUAGUAUGAACGUAACUUUUUUCUACUGUGGCCUGUGGCCAAAAGGACUUUUCCUUUAAUUCAUACCUAAAUAGAAUUUAUAGUCAAUAAUUAUGUAGGAAUAUGUUUUCCUGUUCUGGGUUAAAGUAGGUUUUGUCAGGCAUGGAGCUAGCAAGGCCCCAAGGCCAAGGGUCAUUCGAAUCUCCCUUAGAUCGUAAAGUAAACUGUUUAUCCAUAACUAAAAUUUUUUUUUUUAUGUAUAAAUAGUGAAUGUUGGAUCCAUUUUGACCUUUUCAUGUGUUUAUUUUAUAAUUCUAAAAAAAAUCUUUAGUUAAUAAAAAUUCUAACUCCACUAUUAGAUUUUCAUAUAUUAAAAAUAUUAGUGCUCUAGUUAUUUUUACACUAACAUUGAUGUAAAUAGCUUAAAAAAAUUUGAGUUUAUGAUUAAAAUAUAAUCCUUCAUAGAGUAAAAUAAAAUUAUUAGAGUAUUUUCCAUCUUUUUAAUUAUAUUAUUAAAAAAAAAAAAAUUCUUAAAAGCAUUUUUCGUCCUACCAAACACACCAUUAGUCCCUCGGUGAGAGAGAAAAGAGGGGAGGUUGAAGAUGAGGCAUUAGGCAUGAUGAGCAAGACACUGCUCGUAAAUUAGCAUGAGUGAUGAGUAGUGCUUUUUUCAAAAGAGAACUAGGGGGCUUGCGCAGCCUGUUCAAGGACAUAGUUUAAUCAUCAAAGCCAGCUAUAAAAAGAAUAUAUAAACGUUUAUUCGCAUCGGGUUUUAAGCUAGGAGUGAUGAAAUUAUCUCAUAAAAUAUAUAAUUUGUCUAAUUAACAUGUUCAAGUAUUAGCUCAAUUCAUUUGGAAAUUGAGCUUAUACAUUCUCCAAAUUUACUCAUGUAAAUCUUGUCAAAGAAAUUAUAAAUUGCAUAUAGUCAUAAUUAAGAAAGAAUAACUAGGUACUUAAUUUUUUUUAAAAAAAAAGAUUACAAAUUAGUAAGAUUUGAACGGGUUAGAUUAUGACUGAGUUCAAUUCCUUACAAUCCGUUCAUUUAUCAGCUUAUUUUAUUUUUCCUCAUUCAAAUUCAGCCCAACAAUAAUAUUAAAAUACAUACUAUUUAAUCAUAGUUGGCGCACCUCACCUUCUUUUGUGACAGGGUGCGUGUUAUAUAAUUGCGUUAAUAUCUAGUUAGUGUACUCAAAAAUCGUCAAUUUAUAUUCUUGGCUCUAUAAAAAUUUCCUAACUUUGUACUCCUCUUUCCAGGGAAUGGCUAUUGUGUUUGCUCGUAAUGUAGAAAGAAAGAACAUUUGUAUUGCCCCUUCAUGAAUUAUAGUCCAUUUAUAUGAUUUUGGUGAGGGUAAAGUGGUCAUUGAACACAACCAGGUCUAGUUCCAACACAACUUUCUGAGAUAUACUAUUCUCUUGGGAAACUCUCCAAAAGAAUUAUUCUUCAGCUUUGGGGUUGGAAAUUAAGAUGAUACAACUCAAGAAGUUCUAAUAUAAUAUGCUCAUUUUUUUAUUAUCUUUUUAGAAUAUGUCAAAACAGAUAUAUUGGUCUUACACGUCGACACUCAAUUAAUUAAUACAAUUAUAUCAAAUUAAAUAAAAAGAACAUUAACAACGACAUAAUCCCCACAGGAUUUGGAUAUGACAUGACAAUGUCUGUGUUUAUAAUUUAGAUCGUCGUUGGAUUAGUUUAAAAGGUGACUGCGAAAGAUCAUUAAACAACUCCUUAACUCCACUUUGGAGUAUAAUUACAAUUUAGUUCCUUGAUUUAUUUUAUAUUCUCUUUGCGUGUUUAUGUGUUCAAUAAUAGGUCAACUUUUCAUAAGCAUAUAUACUCGGUUUCUCUACGUCAUCAUUUGUCUAAUACUACUUGAUUAUAGCCAAUUUACAUAUCAUACUAUAAUACUACUUGAUUAGUCGUUUUUGUAACGUAUGUUUCAAGAUGACAAUCGAAGUACUAACUGAAAGUGACUGAUUAACAAGCCACACUUUUAGAAAAAUGAAAAAACAAAAGUUUGUAAAAUGUAAAGAAAAUAUUACUUUUACUAAGAAAUUGAAAAAUUCCACAUCUAUUAGAUGUACUUAAAACUAUUUUUUCACUAUGUACAUUUCCACUCCUAACUUCACUAGUACACAAGUGUAAUACCUAAUUGUCUCCGGGUACAAUAAAGUAAUUCUCUUUUUUGUGUGGGUGUUGGUGGGGAGGGAGGGGAAUUUAUAAGAUUCUGAAAUUAUUAUCUUAGUGAAGUUUUAGAAAUUAAGUUGCCAUUUCUUUUUCAUCUAGUUGUUGUGGGGUGGAGGGGGAGUAAUCUGUAAUUUGAAAUGGGGUGAAUAUACCCCCAUGAGUGGUUGACCAAGCAGACUUUUUUGUUUUAAUGUAAUCAAAAUCAUGACUCGUCAAGUCUUGCAGUUUACAUUAAAUCAUGAAUAACGCUAAACAUGUAAUUCCAAAAUUACCUUCACCAACUGGUCUGGCAAGUGUAAACGGUCAACUAGGGCUGGAUGUAUGCAUAAAAAAGAAACAGUAAGGGUAGACAUACCCAACUAUUUGAAUACAUGUAGAAUGCUAUGUAUAUGUCGACUAUAUUAUGUAUAUUAACAGAGUGAGACAGUAACGUAAUUAAAAAAGUUUGAGAGAAUGUAAUUACUUCUAAAAAAGUUGAUAUUUAUGUUAUUUAUACAAUAAAGUUCUCACUUAAAACAUACACCAAACCUUAUGUUGAAUAAGCCCGGCUAUAGAUUUUAUGUAGUUACUAGUUACUAAUAGCCCGUGCCUCGAUUUCAUGUAGUUACUAGUUAUUAAUAGUCCUUGCAAGACAUGGGCCAAACAAAUAUUUUUUAAAAAUUUAUUUUAAUUAUUAUGAUUUAUAGUAUUUUUUAAAAAUAUAAAACAUAUAUAUUUUUUUUUUAGAUAUUUUAAGUUGUUAACUAUUGUAAUUUAUAAUACCUUUUAUGUAAUUUUCAAAUGCUUAGAUGACCAUAAUAAUUAAUUAUGGGUGAUAUAGUAAAGCUACGAGUGAAGCAGCGAAGCAGACAUGUCUUAAUGACUCACAACAACUAAUUAGAAGCGAUACAAUAAAAUUAAUAUAGAAAAUACUUGUGAAAAAAUUUAAAUGGUCAUAAUAAUUAAUUAAGAGUGACAUAGUAAAAUCACGAUUGAAACAGCGAAGCAGACAUGUCUAAUUAGAAGUGAUACAACAAAAUUACUAUACAAAAAUACCCGCAUGAAGUAGCUGAAGCAGACAUAUCAUAAAUAUAUAUUUUACUUUUUAAUUAAAUAUUAUUAAUUUUCUAAUAUAUAAAUAACUUAUACUAAUUAAUUAGAGAUCACAUAAUUAAAAUCACGAAAAAAGUAGCUGAUGAAGCGGGCAGGUUGAUGGAGAGCUGCCUGCCUUUUGCCGAUUUUUUCUCUUCUUUUUUGUAUUUCUGACUAUAAUAUUUUAAAAGAUAUAUAAUGCUGAAAUUGAGACUUACCUUUUAUAAUGAAGUGGUCAAAGAGGAGAAUGGAGUGAGUAGCCACCACUGACUGCCAUUAAGAAAAGAAAUGCUUUGUAUCAAUCAGUACUCAGUAGUCAGCUGCAGACUCCUAAAAGAAGAACCCCUCAUUAUUAAGUCCCCUUCUCUAUGCUAUUGCUAUUGCAGGGAGCAUGUGAAGAUGUGAUGGAAUAUAGUAGUACAACCUCCACCUUAUUUUCUUUUCUACCAUCAAUUGCCUGUCUUUGUUACAUAAUGAAAGGAACACCCAUGCUUUGUAGCCCGGGGAGAUUUUGAAACGCCUAGAUAGGAAUUUUGUACAGUAAUAUAUUCACGAGAUUCUCAUGCAUGCAACAGUGGUUACAAAAUGCUCAAACCUGAAACAUACUCGACUUUCAACCAAUCCACAGACAAUGUGACACUCUAUAUCAUGAGGUUAUAUGCAUAUAGCUGUCCUGACUCAUGAAAACAUAAUCAAUUCAAUGAUUACACUCAUUCAAUAUCAACAUGGCACCAUUUAAAAGGAUUUUUGAAGGAACAAAACUUUCCUUCAUGGUUUUAAACCCACCACUGGAACCCUUUUGAGCAGGUUAUGGGCGAGGAAGGGAUUCAAACACCCGGUGGACGAACCUUGCGGGGAACACUUAAGAUUUUUAGGGCAUUGAAUUCUCACCAAUGCUCUUCAAAUCCGUGGUUUUAACUCCCAGCGAAGUUCAAUUGCCCUGUAGCAACGUAACUUAUCAUAACCCCUGCAAGCAUGUCUAGUAUCCCACCAAUCAUAGUUCCAAUUGACAAGGAACAUCAUUUUGAGACGAGCAUGCAAACGAAACACAAAAUGUCAAUCUCGAAUCACCAUUCUGAAAAAGCGGGAAGCGGUAAAAACCUAUAUAAAUGCUAACAAUAGUACAAACAUAGUAAAAAAGGAAAGAUGUCACCAGAAGUCGAAAAUAAGUGUAAUAGAUUGUUUCCAACUCUGCACUUUCUUUUCUCUGUUUUUUUAAGUUUCUCCCAUCUUUACCAUAUAGCCCCUUACUCGGCCUGAACAGAGAAGAGUCUUUGACAAUACUUAAAUGACUAAAGUAAAUUCCACCGAAUUAAAAAUCAUAUGGGAGAAACUCUAACCCUAGAAUCAUCAAAUGUUCAUAGUACAAACAGAUCUACUAAAACCUGAUGAUGUAACAACACAACUACAGUUCAGAAUAUCGGGAUUGAAUAUGUUACAGAUGAUAACAGUUCCUCUCGUUGAUCAAAAUAACAGUAGAACUCUACCUAAAGCAUCUCUUCAUGUGCUUUUAUUAAGUAUCAAGAUUAAUCAUCCUGAUAACCUUUAAAAAGAAGGUUCGCAUUGAGAGUUUAGAUCCUAACCACUUGGCUUCCAUCUUACACUUGUCUGCUGAAUGCGAUUCAAUAUCACAGUAUUAACAGAUAACUGCAAUUCUACCAUGCUGAAAAAUCUUUAAGUUCUGCUGUUGAAGUGCCAGUUUUUCUCUUCUUCGCUGCAGAAAUAGGUGGUAGAAUGCUAUCAGAAGAAGUUUUGAAAUCAGGCUGUGCAGCCUUUGCUUUCAAAUACUUCCCAACACCACUUCCAACAGCUUGAAUCUCUGAGGUGCCAGUUCCAGGGUUGCUGAACCAUGAUCCAACCUUCUCCUGGAACACAGUAAGAAGAGAAAAAAGAUGAACACGGAGUAUUAAUAGAUCCAACCAAACAAGCAAAAUGCCGUCAUAAAAGGCUUAAGAAAAAGAACAAUACUAACAUUAUCUUCAUCUUCAGUUUUGUUCUCAUCAUUUGUUUUCUCUUCUUCUUCAUCAAGCUCUGCAUAGGGAUUGACAUAAACUUCUACGCUUAUUAUCUUGAUUUCUUCCUGCACAUACAGCAUAAGCAAAAGGAGUUGAAGUAAGGACUCAGGCAUCAGAACAAAGAAUAGUCGGUUCAAAAUAUAUCUAGAUAAAGAAAUGAAAACACUCAAUGUGCAGAGAAAAGAAGCAAGAUUUUCAAGUCUGGGCUCUGUCCAGGGGAAGGAUAUGAAAGAUAAUGGAAGAUAGAAUGAAAAUACAGAGACAAAUGAAAGUCACUUGACAACAAAAUGAUAUCUGGAAGAACAUACAAUCUUAUUUGGAAAAGAAAGCAUUACAUAUAAAGUUAUAAAACAACCAAAAAGCUCACAACUGGCAGAAAUAGGACAAUUAGGGUUCUACUUUGUUCAGCUCUUUACAAAUACAUGAGAUUUCAUACUUUGGGAAUGGAAAAUUUAUUCCCCCACUUUCUCUCUCUCUCUUUAGACAGGUAAUUCAUCUAUAAAAAAGAUGCUAGCAUUCCAUUUUGACAACCACAGCUGGGAAAAAGCAUAAGCAUGAUGACUGCAAUAAUGGAGGAGGAUAAAUUAACACACACAUGCAGUACAGGUCUACAUUGAGAAGAUCUUCAAAUCUCAUCCUUAUCCCAAAGCUGAGAAGGUUCAAACAGAUUCUUGACUUGAAUGGUCUCGAUUAUGAAACACUUUCUAGUAAUUUAAAUGAAAAACUAAAAUUUUCCCCAAAAGCUGCACAGGUCAACAGACAUUCUUGACAUGACCAGCUGGGAUUAAGAAUCUGUUCCCAAUGAUUUAAAUAAGCAAUUUAUAUUAGAGAAAUUUCAGAUCAAUCACUUAUAUCAGAGAAAUAUCAGUAUUCUCCAUAUCAAUGUGUAAUCAUGUAAUACCUACUGGUUCCAAUAAUGGAAACUAACAAUGUAAGCUUUCAGAUGUGUAAGCGGAACCGCCACUCGGGGAACAAUGCAGGUACAACUAGCCUUUUAGAGUAAUAUUUCUACCUAAGUUGAUUAAACUCUCAAUUAAAGCAUAUUCUUUGUUUCCAAGGCAGGACUCAAUAUGCUAAGUUGUUGAAUGAAAGUUAAACAUAGAGUUAAUCUUCCGACUAACCAGAGGUCGGUCAUCAUCAUCAACAGGGACUUUCUCCAUAGUAGAAAGUGUCGUCAAGCCUCCAACAAUCAUACCAAAGACGGUGUGUUUGAAAUUUAAGUGAGUGGCAGACUUGUACAGGAUGAAGAACUGUGAGCCAUUUGUGUGAGGACCAGAGUUAGCCAUGCUAACAACACCUCUACCAGAAUGCAGCAAUUUGGAGUGCACUUCAUCCUUGAAGGGCUUUCCCCAGAUAGACUCACCUCCUUUCCCUGUGCCAGUUGGGUCGCCACCUUGAAUCAUGAAAUUCCUGCAAAUGUGGGCAAAUAAGUUCCUUGGCAUUCAACAGUUCCAAUUGAUAAACAAACAUUUUACAACUAUUUUCAAGUAAAAAGGUACCAAGUUACCGGAUGUUUCUGUGAAAAGCUACUCCAUUAUAAUAUCCUCGUUCACAAAGAGUAAUGAAGUUUUCACAUGCCCUUGGAGUUAUGUCACAAUGAAGCUCAAUAUUCAAAUCACCAUGUGUUGUAUGCAGCUGGACAUAACCUUUCUUCUUGGGAUUUUUCUCAACUUUAACAUAUUCAUAUUCAUUCUUUGUUACUGGAUCAUAGGAGGUGGAAGUGAAGGACCUAGAAGCAGCACCAGUGGUAAAACGACUCUUAACCUGAAAGAGUUGAAUAAAGAUAAAUCACUUUGAAAACCAACAGAUUACGAUCAUGGUUAUAUGUGUUAUUUUCUUGAUGCACAUAGCAUUUCUUUUCUUUUUUUGAUUAGUAAAAAACUGUUGCACCUUAGCAUCUAAUAAACCCUCAACAGUAUAGAAGUUAAGACUAAUCACCCAAGUACUAAAAUGUUAAAUACAGCGCGAAGAAGAACAGACGGAAUAUGAACUUCCACUUGCAAGCCAAAGUCGGUUACUUUAAACAAUUAAAAACAGCACAACUAAAAGCUAGUCAGGUGUGAAGCAAGAUGUAAAAAUCAUCUUGGAUAAGUCAUAUAACAAAGAACUAUAUGUUUCUUGAUUAACGUAUGAAGAAGGAAUAUCACACUAACAGAAAAUUCUUAUAAACAUACAUCUAUCCUAUGUUUUCACUUGUGCGACAUUAGGCCUUGGGCCCAACUCACAUCCCAAAAGCUAGCUCAUGACGGGAGGAUUGCCCAAAUCCAUAUAAGGAGACCACCAAUCCAUUCCCCAACCUAUGUGAGACUUUCACUCACUCUAACAGUUGUAAAUAGGAUUAUCCAGAUGAAGAAACCAUAUUGAUAAACCACAAGAAGGUUAAAAACGACUAUGCCUCAAGCCCAAUUAGGAUCAGCCACAUCAAUGCAAAUAUUGCAACACAAUGCAAGUAAACACACUGAUGUGUCUAUAACAUACUUCCAAUCAACAGGCAUUGCCUACAUAUAUCUUUUUCUUCCAUUGUGUUCUAUUUUAUCUAUGACGGCAUUAUCCAGGAUGUACCCAUUUUACACACUGAUGUGUCUAUAACAUACUUCCAAUUAACAGCUAUUGCCUAUAUAUACCUUUUUCUUCCAUUGUGUUCUAUUUUAUCUACGACAUCAUAGUGACAAAAUUACGACGUUACAGGAUGUACCACCAUUAGUCAUAGGAAAAACACGCUAAGCAUACCAGAAAUUUAGCAUGAACAUAAAGGUGCCCAAUUGAAAUGCGUAAACUAUGCAGGUUUAAUAUUUACUCUCUGCAAGGAAUGAGAUGGUUUCUUUCUAAAAACUAACCAGCUUAGCAUUUACUGGUGUCCUUUCACCCGCCAUGUGCAAAGCUAUCCGCGCAGCUGUUUUAUCAGUUGAACCAGACUUUGCAGCAGCAGCACUUCUUCCGUGAACUGAUGCAGAUGCAGCAUCCACAAUGCUGAAAGUCUGCUUUGCUGUUCCUUCACCAUUUUCAUUUGUUUUUGCGUCAUCUUUAAUACGUGAUCUUGCAGCUAAAAUAGCCUCAAGAGCAGCAGCUCUUUCAUUUUGUGCCUUGUUUCCACCUCCACCAUGUAGCGCGAUCUCUUUCGCUUUCUCACUUCCAAGUUCCUUGAGCAUUUGCUUGAUGUCCCCAGUAAUAUUUAUGUUGUAUGCUGGGUCAGAUUGCAUCUUCUGCAUUUCUGAUGAAGUACCAAGCACUUAUUAGCAGUGGAGCAUAAUUGCAUUAAAAAUUGUAUGAAUAAAGAAUCACUCACCUUCAUCAUCAACCUUUAAACUUUUCUUGACAUGAUCAAAAUCUAGAAGCACCUUGGUGUCCAGUGCAUUAGGAUUCUGCAGUUAGAUGUUCAAAUAUAUCAAUAUAAAUAACAUGUCACAAUGCUCCGCAUUCUCAUUAAGCAUACAUAAAAGUUAACAGGAUAGUAGAAGCUUACUUGUAUCGUUAUAAGGUCUUCUCUAGUGAAUGGCUCAUCAGUGAGAAGCUCCUUCCAGUUCUUUGUUUUGAUAUUCAGUUCUUUAACUGCCUAAGCAAGAAAGCCUGGAUCAAACUCUCCAUGCAAGAAAUAGAAGAUGCUCUUCUCUUUGAAAGACAUAAAUGCAUAGUGGUGAGUCAGGAGAAAAAUAUCACAUACCUCGUAACAGAAAACAUUUCCCGUAGUUCUUACAGCAACUAUAUGUGUAAACUCUGUAAAAACCUUGUUCAAGACAGGACAAUGAUACUCUCCUGAAACAAUAAGACACCAGCUUUCAACCCAACCAUUCCUGGAAAAUGACAACAACUAAUAAUAUGACUGUCCUACCAAAAGCUAGUUGAACUUCUUGGUAUAGCUAUCCCUAAUUACCAAAAUCCAAAAAACCCAAGUUUUCAUCUUUAAAAUAUGAAGGAAGUUUGAACUGAUUAACGAAAUAGGUAUAAGUGUUAUCUCCCUCAACCCACAUUCAACGUCAGACAAGACACCUACAAUGUUUGUGGAAGUUAUAGUAAAUAAUUCAUGUGCAAUUGGACUUCCAUUCAAAUGCCAAAGCUAAUUACAGAUUGAAUAUCUUCAAAAAGGGGGUAAAUUACCUUCAGCAUUCUUGUGGAAAGUAAGAGGAAUUAAGUCCUCUUGCUUCAUAGGUUCUCCAGUCACUGGAUUCCUCCCAUAUUUCCUGAUAUAUGGAACUAUCUGCCUGCAGAAAGCGCAAAAAAAGAAAAAAAAACAGUUGAUACUAAUUGCCCAAAUAAAAAAACCCAGCUUGAAUUAGAAAUACAGAGGCAAGAAAUACUGACAUUAUGUCAAAGACACUGCCAUCUUUUGUGCAUACUGGAUCCUCAAACGGUGUAAAUGUAAGACUGCAUACAUACAAAUACACGCCAAAUUUAGCAAAAAAAUAACUUAAAAAGAAAAAAAAUACUAAUACUUAACAGAUAGAGGAACUUACGCGCAGCAAUAGAAGGGAAGUCGUUUAAAAGGAGUUUUGAGUUCUUUAGAUUUAGCGCCGCCCCAUUCAGUUGCCCAUUCAGUUUUGGUUAUGAACAUUCGAUCUUUGCUGUGUUGUUUCUUCCCCAUACUGUACUUGUCACUUCCUUCUCUGAAUUUUAGGGUUUUAAAGAGCUCUUACUUCCUUCUCCAAUAAACUAGAAAAGCUUGUGGACUUUGUUCAUAUGAAUAUCGGUGGCCGCUUUGGACUUUCUUCUCCGGUGCCUGUAUCAGAGUUUUUUACCCGGUCAGUUGGGUGAAAUCGGGAGCUUAAUUGAACCCGAAUAGGCAAUCCAUAUCAUCUAGUUUGCCCGACCCGUAUAUUUAAUCAAGUUGCCGGAUUACUGUUGUUAUUUUAGAAAGGCCUUAUGAAAUACAAAGUAAUUGUACACUUAACCCCCUGUAUUGGUAAAUUCUUGUUUUGAUCCUUGUGAUAUUUUCUAAAUUAAUUAAAUUGUCCAUUUUGAUCAUUUUAUUUUUAAAAACUGUUAUGUUUAUAUUAUUUUUUAAAAUUACCUUACCUUCAAUAUUAAGUAAUAAUAUUAAUCUUAUCAUAAACCAUGAGUGACCAGAUGAAUUAUUUCUUAUAAAAUAUAUUUUAGUGGGUUCUUUUCGGGGAAAAAAAAAAAAGCUUGUUGUCAGUUAAAACGGAAGGGAAAGAAAUUAGAGAAAAUUAGGUUUAUUUCUUUCUUUCUUUAUAGGUUAUUUAAUCGGUCAAUAAAGUUCGAAUUCAUUUCUGAAUCAAGUACAAAUACAAUCAUUUUUCUUUAUUGAUUUGAUUUGUUUUUAUUGUAUAAACAAUAUGUUUUUUAUUAAUCCCAACUUUCUCUAUAUAAGUGUCUUUCAAAUUUGUAACAACUAAAACAAUUUGUUUUUAUUGUAUAAACAACAUGUUUUUCAUUUAUCUCAACUUUCUCUGUAUAAGUGUCUCUCAAAUUUUUAAAAAUUGAAACAAGAAGAAGGAUUAGAGAAAUAAACCCUUCAUUUUCCUGUACUUUUUAAGUUUACGCAAUAAAAAUAAUAUAAAAUAUUUGAUUUGUCUCCCUGCAAUUCAAUAAAUUAUUAUUUUGAUUGUUGACAGUUAGUUGAAGAAUUAAAAUCACACAUAUUAUUUAAUUGAAAUUAAAUACGCUUAAUUGAAUAUCAUUAAUUGAAUAUCAUGAAAACUACAAUAGAAAUUAUGCAAUAACAUAAGGACUAAAAAUUAUUGUGUUCCCUAAUGGAGGAUUGUCGGGUCAAAAAAGGCCCACUGUGAAUAAGGAACACACUGAGAAAGGCCCAGUACUAGUUCGCCGUCAACUCAAAAAACUAUUUGGGGCCAACAGUGACGCCGCCGGCAAGCCCUGGGACGAUGGGUGGUGAUCGGAGCAGCAGCAGUGAAGAGGAUGGUGAUGCUGAUUGGAGAGCCGCUAUAGAUUCUGUUGCUGCUACUACUACAUUUAGCAAAGCUCAUUCAUCAGCCACUGCUACUACUAACGGAGAAUCUGUUGCCCAAGAAGAUGAAAUAGAUACUAUUAAACAACCCCAGAAGCUCAAACAUUAUCAAAUUAAGGUACUUUUUGACAUUUUCACACUCUCAUUUGCUUCCUUCAAGAUUGCGCCUUACAACUCUUAUUAACUGAACCAGCAAGUGCUCCAGUGAUGUUAUACUACAACAACAGCAACAAUAACUUACUCAGUGUAGUCCUACAAACUGGAAAAUAGGGUGGGGGAGAGGGUAAAGCAUACACAGGCCUUACCCUCCGAAUUCUGGUACUCAAGAAAAACAUUCCAAAGCAGUUCAGUACGGAAGUGACAGCAUCAUGAAACAUAUAAAGCCAAAUUAUAUCCUAAUCGAAUUAUAAGAAACAUCAAAUAUCAACAUCACUAUUAACUACUGACCAACAGACUCCUAUGUGAGGUCAUAUCCUUGGUAAGCUGAAACUUUGAUCACCCAUCCCGAUACUUCUUCAAACUACCUCUACCUCUCCAUAGCCAACCUCUCACACCUUUGCACUAGGGCAUCAGGGAUCAGCCUUUCUACGUCAUCUAAGGUAGAUAUUGGCAGCAUAUACAUUACACUCCCCAGACCCCACUUUGUGGGAAUACACUGGGUAUGCUGUUGUUGUUGUUGUUGCAUCAGGGAUCAGCCUUUAGCCCAUUUUUAUUUUCCAUGGUGUUGGAUGAGUUGACGCGGCAAAUCCAAUGAUGUUACCCUAUUACUCCAGAAAUCCCUUCAUUUUGAUAGCUUGAUUUUAGGGAGUUUUUUUUAUCUCUAUUUUCACAGCCUUGUUAGUUUGCCUUAUCAUGCUAGCACUAAUAACAUGAUAAUUGGAACCAACAGUUUAUUCUGAACAUAUACUAUCUUUCAUAUUGUCGGAAACAACCUUUCUACUUCAUCUGAGGUAGCAGUAUGGAUUGCGUCCACUCUACCCUCCCCAGAUCCCACUUUGUGGGAAUACACUGGGUAUGUUGUUGUUGUUGUUGUAUAUAUCUUUCAUGUUGCACCGUGCAAGAUUGUAGUAACUUUCCCUAAAGGGCCUUCAACCACAUUUUGGUCCAACAUAUUUUUGUUACUUCGGUCACUGCUUGAUGAAUCAAUUUCAUGAAUGGACACCAACAGGCCCUGAAGACUUUAGAAGACAUGUUAGACAAGAGUAUAGAAAUAGUGAGAGAGGUUGAUCAUGCUUCGCAGGAAGAUACACCCUCAACAAAUGGAGGUGGAAUUCGGUUGUUUAAGCGUGCUCCACCUGGGAUUGUGUUUGAUCACACAGGUAAAGAAAGAAAACCUCUAGCAAUUAAUUUGAUGAUUGGUACGUCCGCUAAUAUUUGUUUGUUGUUUGCUUAACAUUCUUAAAUUCCAAAUUUGACUGGAUGAAGAAAAAUAAUGUUGACCAACCUUGUUUAAUAUAAUAGAAGGCUAAGCUUGAUACUGUGUUGACUUGCUUUCUCUUAUGGGAUAAAAAGUUACGUAUAAUGGAAAAUCCAUGCUACGGUGUUCCCUUAAGUUUUCUUAAUAAAUCAAAAUAAUGUUACUAAUGAAUACCAAAUCAGUGUCAAAAGUAUAUACAAUGUGGGUGUCAGGCAAAUUUCAUUCCAACACCAAGGAAGGAGGUCGAACCUUUUUGACAAUUGUUCAAAUUAUUGAUGUCAGUAGUAUGACUAGAGUGUAAAACUAAAAUAUUAUUGUCCAUGCCUAGAUGAACUCCAACAACCCAGAAAGAAACCAAGAAUCCGUCCUGGGAAGGAAUUUGAGGAGAACUCAGAGGAGGUUUGUCUUUUCUACUUGUCGUUAUGAUCCAUAGUAAUGGUGAAAACUUUUAUUUUAGAUCUCUCUUUCCAUCUCCAAUGUUUUAUCUCACCUUCUCACUUGCCCCAUUAUGGUUGCCACAGUUUAAAUACCGAAUCAAGUCCAUUGCUGUUGAUGGGAUGGAUAUUUUAGCUGCAUCUAAAAAUGCUUGCCAGAAAUCAUUAGCCAGACUAGAAGCAAGAGAAGCAGCAGUUAAAGCAGCUGCUAAAAGAGAGGAAGAAAGAGUUGCAGCAUUGAAAAAAAUUCGGGGGGAGAGAUGGCUCCCAUCGGUCGCCAGAGAUAUGCAGUUAAGGCUUCAACGACGUUGAUACCUGUAGACGGACUAGGCUUCCAUUAUUCAGCACUCAUCUUUCAUUUCUUUUACUCUUUAAAGUUUAUAUUGCUCAUUUCAGCCUGUAUUUUAUGUUAGGCUACCUGAGCUGUUGCCCUUGUCAGUUCCAGAAAAAUAGGUUGACUCUAUUUCUGUAUUGCCAACAAAAGAGUUCUUCUGAUUAAAUUGUUUUGACAUUUGUGUAUUAAAGUUAAAAAAGUAUGGUUAUUGGACUGCCAUUGGCAAACAAUUGGUGUCAAGGCAAAGCAUCUCUGCAUUCAUUUGCAACUGAAGAUCGCCCAUGGUAUUAGUGAGUCCAGCCAGUUAUUCUUUGGUCUGUAUAGUGUGUCUAUCCUGCUUUUUGUUACAUCAAAAUUUCAGACCUAAUUAAGCUUUAUGCAAGACGCUUUGAACCAACAAAAUACUUGAGUUUCUGGAAUAAAAGAAGCAUCUAAAGAAGUUAUGAGUACCAGAGAAUAUUUAUCACUAUGUCAAGCUUCGAUGAUGAGUAUACCAGGGCAAGAGGAAUGAAAAUUCAUUCUUCCAUGUCUUUUUUGAAAGAACUAGUUGUGCAGACCUGACAAGUCAUCAAUAUACUACUCGUAGAUAUAAACAAGAAACUAAACGUGUAAAUUUUGAGUGUACAACGUCAAAUAGACGACUCUUCUUCUAUUGUUAACAUCUACAUUACAGUGACAAAUCAGAAAUAGCCAAAAAAUAAUCUCAGAAGAACUUCAACAGAAAGAAUCAAACCUCCCAAUCGUUGGUCAGUACAAAGCCACCUAGAAAUAAUCUCCAUCUGCUGUUUCUUUAAUGAACAAUUAUCAACUUUAAUGGGGUAAAUACCCUCUAACUCUCCCCUUGUUCUUCUCAGCAUACCUACGGAAAUUGACCAUGGGAUGCUGCAACUCAAGGACCAAAAAAGCCCUCAAAAUAGGCUGUGGCUUCACGGUGAUUCUCUUACUUACUAUUCUUAUUGUUGCCAUUACCCUAUAUUUCACUAUCCUUAAGCCAAAAGAUCCAAAAGUCACAACUCAGUCCGUCACAUUAGAGUCCAUAAGAUUUGAGCCAUUUCCAGCAUUUCACCUCAACGUAACAAUUGGCCUGAUCCUCGCCAUCCAUAAUAGGAAUUAUGGAAGCUUUAAGUAUGACAGUAGCAUAGCUAACGUGACUUAUCGCGGUGAUCCAGCAGCAGAAGCACUAAUUAUAGCAGACACCAUUCCAGCUAGAGCGGAUCAUGAUUUGAACACAACAGUGCUAAUUGAUUUAGAUGGUUUCUCUAAGAAUCCUAAUUUCUUAGGAGAUCUAUUUUCUGGUUGCUUGAAUUUUACUUCGUCAACCAUUCUACACGGGAAGGUCACUGUGUGGAAAGUCAUGAAGCUCAAAGCCACAACAGUUAGCACCUGUGACAUCUCAGUUUUCACCAAAUUCCAGAAUGCAACUUCUGUAUGCAAAUCCAAAAUUAAGUUCUGAUUUUUGUUUAUUAAUCUUUCAGGUAUUUGUUUGUCCAUAUCAAUAAAAUAGCAAGAGAUCGUGUUUGAUUUGAAAACCAAACUUCAAUUACGGAUCUUGUUUUUAGAAACUAAACAUCAGGAUUAGCUUCACUUAAACAAGAUUAGGGGUGAGGGGAUACUCUCAAAGUUUAGAAGACAAAAUGUGUAAUUUCCUUACGAAACUGUAUUGACACUUGGACUCUUUAACAGCAUUCAGCUCUUUAGUCUUUACACCUUGCAUGACUGCAUGAGUUAUGUUUCGGAUAAUUUUCUACACAUGAAUGCAAUGCUUCUUCCUGCUAUCAGAUUCUAACCUUGUAUAAUAGCAGGGCUAGGCCUUCUAGUUUACAAAUGAACUCCAUCUACAUAUACUAUUAUCUACACAAGGGAAACAUGCAACUUCCUUAAGAUCUUUUGAAUCCCGCUCGAAGAUAUGGUUGUGGGCAGUUAAGCUUUGAGGUAUCCAUUUUUGUCCAGGUAUGAGAUCACUACAUCAGCCAAGUCAUUAGGAGAAUCACAUAACCCUUUGUUCUGACGCAACACAAUCUGCACAAUGAAGAGAUACAAGACAGAUAUAAUUAGAGUUUAGAGAAGAAGCCAUGAUUUCUACUUCUAUCCUCUUUACCAAAACUUGAUGCAAUUGAUCCCACAUCCAAAUGAAGUUGAGUCUCAAUGGCAUACACAGAACGAUUGAAAAUAUUUAUCCUAAGUUUCAAAAUGUAGGACAAGCUCCUAAAGUUAGGAAAUGCUGAUUAUCCGAAUACUGACAAUCAAUCUUCAAAUCAAUAUAGCAUGUCUAAUUAGUUUAAGCAAGAAGGGAAACUUGUCCUACCUCUGAAUUCAGGGGUGGCUCAUAUGGAUCAUCAAUACCAGUAAAACCUGCAAAUUACAAAAAUCCCAUAUUAUAAUCAACUUCAAGAGCUAAAACUCAACCAAAUGCCACAAAAAUGUAAUCAGCCAAGGAGAGGGGGAUCUCCUGCCCACAGCAGCAAGGACACGAAAGUUCGAGUAGCAGGUAAUUUAAUACUUAGCUAAGAGAGAAGCAAAUUCCAUCCUCAUACCACCUAUUAGAUAUGGUCUUGAAUUCUCAAAUUAAUCUAAUUCAUCAAAUCAAGAGUACAUACAACUGUACAACUACAUAAUAUACUUUCUAAUUGACAAAAGGAAGAGAUGCUGAUAUAACAGAUAGAACCUUUUAUCUUUCCUUCUCGAGCAAGCUUAUACAAUCCCUUAGGGUCCCUUGACUCACACACUUGUAGAGGAACAUCCAUGAACACCUAAUAAUUAGCCAACUCAAUCAACUGUUUAGAUAUACCAAACAAGCAAGCUGUUACUUGAAAAUGCAAUCCUUUGGGACUUGGGUACCAGUCCUUGAACAAACCUCAAUGAAAUCCCCUUCAGGUAGUAAAGCACGGCAGGCAUCUCGCUCCUUUCUGUAGGGAGAUAUCAAACCAGCAAUGCAAAUAACUCCAGCGUCCGCAAAAAGCUUAGCCACUUCCCCUGUAAAAUAACGAUUUGCAAAAUUGUUAGAUCCCAGAAAAACACAUGAUGGCUUUGAAACGUGGACAAGAUAGAAACCGACCUAUCCGCCUUAUAUUUUCUGCCCGAUCUUCAGCUGCAAAACUAAGGUCACAAUUCAGACCAUGGCGAACAUUAUCACCAUCAAGGAUGUAAGUGAGUUUUCCUCUAGCAUGCAAACCACUACUUAGAGCACAUGCCACAGUGCUCUUCCCUGAAAACAUGUUUAAUAAUUAAAAACGAAAACAGGAAGUGCCAAUUCAAACAGCUCAUAGACUGAGGACAGAAACCAGGCAAUAAGACAGAAACUGCUCGACUGGGUCUCUCUUUUUUCUUUUUUUUUUUUAAGGGGGGGGGGGGGGGGGGGGAGAUUUGGUNNNNNNNNNNNNNNNNNNNNNNNNNNNNNNNNNNNNNNNNAUAAUGUGUUUGUGCUAAUAACAUAGAAAAAAAGAGAGAGAAUUCAGCAAUGUCAAGAGAACAAAAUAAAUGGUCGUGUAUUAAGAUGUUUAGUCGCAGUCAUUCCAUGAGCUUCCAAUUACGUCUACACUCAUAAUAACCUUAAACCAGCACGUUUAUAAAUAAAGUUUGAAUUCAACUAGGCAGUCUGAAUUCUAUCGGAAACAAUCUCUCUACUUCUUCGGAGGUAGCGGUAUGGACUGCGUACAUCUUACCCUCCCCAGACUCCACUUUGUGGGAACACUCUGGGUUUGUUGUUGUUGUUGUAGUCUGAAAGAGAGCAGGUUGAAAUUGCAAUCACUUGAACUAUUUGAAUGCUGAUAUGUUUGUCACACUGUUUUCCAUUAUUUUUGCUACAACUGCAGAUUUUCACAUAAUAAUUCCCUUUUCUACUGAUGAAUGGCUUCUUAAGCAAAAUCGGUGUUCAUCAAGCAAAAUUCUGGUAGGAUAAAUAUCCAAAGUCUUAUACUCCAUAUGAUUCUGUCAUUUCCUAAUGUUAUAGUGUAAUCAGUUUAGCACGAAGCGGAGAACAUAAAACAGCAGGAGUAUACUAUAGCUGAAUGCUGAUCUAAAAUUUUCAAGAAGCUAUUGUUAGUUUGACUUCCACAAUCAAUCAUCUAAUAACGACAAAAUCAUGACCAAAUAUCAACAUGCUACUGCAAAAUGAUAUCAUUACGAAAACCCUGAAUGUGACGCAACAAUGAAAGACAGCCUAAUCUUAUAAUCUACAAAAACAUCUUUGAAUUCUGCUAGUUUCAGAUGAAUCCAUUAAUCAAGGCUGAAAAGAAAAAAAGAACCAAGUAAAUAGAAAAAAAAACACUCUCUAAUUAGUACUUCAAAAUCAAUUAGAUAUUAGGUUGCAACAUUUCUUGGUUUAAAUCUUGAAUUUGCAUUUAGACCCACAGUAUAUUGGAAAAAUAGUUUAUGGAGAUACUAGAAAUGCUUUUGUUAGUAACAGAAUGGAAGAUUAAAGCAUUUUGCAGAUUGUUCUUAAGUAUCAUAUGCAUAUACAGAAAACAAAACAAAACCAAGAAAAUACAGAAAUGGCCAGUCCAUCAUAUGGAAAAAGGUAUCUGCAAGAAUAUAAGCUUAUGGGAUUUGAAACAAACCUGAACCACUGAGACCAGUUAGCCAUAUAACACAACCCCUUUGCUGAAGCAACUCCUCUCUAUCACUUUUCUCUACAGAGCAUUUGUGCCAAACAAUGUUUGUGGAAUUCCCACUUGUAGACAUCAGGGGUGUACUUUUACCUAGUUAGAUUAAUCACCACAUCAGUAACUAUAACUUUUUUUAUGCUCAAAUUACAUUUAAUACUUCCACUUAAAAAAAUAAGCCACAAGAAAAUAUAUGUCCAAACUAUCCAGGAAUAUCAGAGUUGACCAACAGGAAAUAGCAAAAUGAGCCAGGAAUCCGAAUUUCACACCGCUUCCAUACAAAGAGAAAUUCAAGAUUUAGAGCUGGGGGAGUGAUAGCUAAUUGAACCAACUACCUUUUCAUGAUAACGGAUUCAGAAUUCAGAUCAUAGUUAUAUAUACAUUGUUAAAUUUCUUAACUAUUUAUAAUUUUGAGUCGAAAACAGUAAACCAUGCAUAUCCCACAAUAGAUUAUCAGUUUCCGGCAUGAUGUGCUUCAAGAAAACAGAGAAAAGUACUACUACUACAUAAAGUAAAAUUUACAAAUAAAAACGAAACAAAAGCGAAAUAUCAGUACCAGAAAAGCCUCGAAACUCAUUUGCGCUCAUUUCAUCAUUUGAAUUGUAUCCCGGCAGCUGAUGAGAACUUCCGGCUUUUCCACUGAUAUGAAACAUUCUAGAAGUCUCCAUUGUCCUUACAGGCACCAAGAAGUUGGUUUUCACCUCUGUACCAAUGUUGAAGCCCAAUAAUUUCGCUGUGCGAGCACAUGCCGGUAGCUUCGAAACCCCCAACUUCAUCGAAGCACAGCAAAAUUCCGAACGAGCACGACAAAUCAAUGAACUAUUUCCCAUGGAAGUCAUCAUCAAGCAUGUAAACUGGUGGCCUAAACAAAUAAUCUUGAAUCAAUGUAUAAUUAAUUAAGCAAAAAGAAUGAUCAAUUGGAUAAUUAAAAGAUGCCAAAAUGUAAUGCGGAUAACUUACUCCCAAGCAGUGAAAAUGGUGGAUUCCGGCUAAGUUUCGGUGAAAUAGGCAAAGCACUUAUUAUAUUGUGAUCACCAGAAAGCGGAACGGGGACUCAAUGCAGUUGUGGAACUGAGUCGGAAAAGGAUCCCGGACUAUUUUAUUUUUUGGCUUAAAAAUACAAUUCUGUUUAUUUUUUCUCUCCAACAUAUCCAUCUGUUAAUUUUUCAUCUCAAAAAUACCCCUUUAUUAUUUUUAGGCUCGAAAAUAUCCUUCUCUCUAACAAAAUACCACCAAACACACUAUAUAGAUUAAAAAAAAUCACUUAAUCAAUCCACGUCAACAUACACGUUGAAAAUCACUCAAUUCAAUCCACUUAACAAUCAUCCCUUCACUGUCUUAUAUUUCGUUAUUUUACAUUUUCAAGGCUCACUCGAGCAACUUUUUACCUCAUCAACCUGUGGUUGUUCUAUAUUGCCACUAAACUUUCACUCUCCAAAUUUCAAUUUUAUCUCUGAAUUACUAUUCUUCUCACUACAAUCAGGUUUUUCAUUAGACAAAUUUAAAUAUAACAUCCGGUAUCAAUUUGAACUCUUAGAAAUAGGGUCAACUAUUUGAGGAUCUAAUUAUUUAGGAUCGACUCGAUUAAAAUUCGAUUCUUUUAGAUCAAUAAUUUAAGGACCUAAUUUUUUCCUCAUCUUUCGCCUUGACUAAUUCGAAAUAUGUAACCCAUCACAUGAAAAAUAAGUAAUCAAAUUCUUCAAAAAAAUAUUCUCUUGGGUCGAUUUUUUUAAUAUGGGUGGGAUUGGGUCUUUUAAAUUAAAAACAAUGGAUUGAUGGUUAGAUGGAUUAGAUGGCGUAAUUUUUCAUUUGUGUCUGUUGAUGUGGACUGGUCAAGUGACUUCUUUUAUUCACGUGGCGUGUUUGGUGGCAUUCCGUUAGAGAGAAGGGUAUUUUGAGCCAAAAAAAUAGUGGAGGAGUAUUUUUUAGCCAAAAAAAAAUAAAAGGAUAUUUUUUAGCCAAAAAAUAAAUGAAGGGUAUUUUUUAUCCAUUUUAAAUAGUUCAGAGAUAUUUUUUUUAUCUUUUUCCGAAUUUAAAUUCACCUAAAAAGAUUAUAUCAAAAUCAAGAUAUAUUAGUCAAAAUAUUAUGAAAUAACUAAAAAUAAAGAAGUAUUUGACAGAGUCUCGUGCUUUAGAUUUAUAAUGUUACCUUAUUAGUCUCGUGCUUUAGAUUUAUAAUCUUACCUUAUUUGGUAGAGUUUCAUGCUGAUAUCAUGUUAUGAAGUAACUAAGAAUAAAGAAGAAAAAUAGAGAGAAUAUAUAGUAAUUUUUAUUUUUCUUAAGAGAUUCUCUUGUAUCCUUGAUGAUGAUUUACAAUGAAGGAAACCCCUAUAUAGGAAAAUUUAUUCCUAAUUUAAAAGACAGAUACUUCAAAUUUGAUAGAUAUCAAUUAGAUCUUGAUAGAUCUUAUUAUAUAUAUAGACAUUAAAUACAUUUAUAACACAAAAUAAAUAUUAAAGGCUAAUAUAAUUAAGGUAAUUAUUUUUAUUAAGUUUAAUAAAUGUGAAUUUAAUAUUAAUUUUUUAAGCGGCUUUGUUGGCCUAAGAGGAUGCUUGGAUUGGCAUAAAAGCCGGUAAAAUCAGCUUAAAAGCAUUUUUUAACUUUUUUUGGUGUUUGACAAACAACAAAAAUGCUUAAAAAUAAGUAUUUUAAGCUAAAAUAAGUCAAAAGUUAUAAGUUGGUCUGCCCAACUUAUUAUUUUUGGCUUAAAAUCUAUUUUAAGCUUGACUAAGUAAUUUACUUCAUUAUUCCUUGCAUGUUCCUAAAACUCCUAAAAUAUCCUUUCUUAUUCUAACUUAUUCUUCCAUUUCUUGCUCUCUCCCAUGGCUGCUCUAUCAUAGUUUAUAUUUUUUUUUCUUUGGACCUUGUAAUAUUAUGAUUGAUUAGUUUAUUUUGUUAUUCAAAUUUUAUUAUUCAAAUAUUAUUUAAAAAGGUCUGUGGAUGGAAGCAGAACACAUUACUCUUCCAUCAUAAUGAAUGUCACUUUGAUUUAAAUUUUUUCGUGACAAAAAAGAUUGAUAAGAAAAUUCUUUUUAUUCUUGUUGUAAUUAAUAAUUUUAUAUUGCAGUAAAAAUUAUUAUUUUUUUGUUAUUUUUCAGUUUCAUACAAUGUUUUCAAUAAACAAUCUGAAAUUAUAAGAAAAUAAUUUUAUCUAUAGAUUACAAAUUACCAAUCAUUAUCUUGAAAUUUUAAAUUUUACGAGUGAGAUUCUAGGAUUUUGUCAUGAAGUUCCACAUGUGAAGUAAUAUAACUAAGAAGUGAUCAUGAACAAUUUUUACGUACGAAUUAGGUGCAUUAUCAUUGUCUUUAAGGAACUUAAUUGCUAUGUCAAUCAUAUAAAACAAACUAAUUGUAAAGAGACACACCAACAACAAGAAGAAGAAAAAAGAAUAGGUGUGAAUAAUAAAUAAAAAAUAAUGUGGAAUUAAAUCAAAUAGCCAUGCAUGUUUAAAAAUAAUGUUUAUAUUGAAACUGAAUUAAAAUAUAUAUUAAUUUUAAUUUGAAUCAUUUUAGAUUUUUUUUUUUUAAUAAUUAUCAACUCUACAUAUUGUUAACAGCUUUAAGGAUAUUUUAGAUAUUUUGAUAAAAAAGAAAGUGCUUAACAAUACUUAUUUACCAAACACAUCAACAAUUUUUCUUCUGUUUGAACACUUUUAUCCAAACAAGUAACUGUUUAUUUUUAAAAUAAGUUUCAGCAUUUUUAAAAACACUUUUAAAGAAUUUUUUAAAAGCCAUUUUUUUCGGCCUAUCCAAACGGCUCCCACGUAUAACCGAUGUGAGGACCACGUAACAAAUUGCCCAAUUUUAUUAAUUUUUGUAAGUUCAAUUGUUUCGAAAUUAAUUUGUAGCAAAAAAAUAAAGAAAUAUCUAUGCUAAAAGGUCAGAAACUUAAUAAGGCUGUUUAUACGAAACUAAUAAAUGCAUAAUAUUUUUGAAUUACAAUCAAUCAAUAUAUGCUCUUAUCUUAAUUUGUGUUUUUUCACAUCAAAUUUCUUGGGUUGGUGCAAUAUUAUUUUUAUUUAGUAUAAUUACAUCUUUUCAUUGUUAAGUAUAAACAUUAGAAUAUAAAUCAAUUUUUGUAUAUAUUUUAUUUAAAAUUAAAGAAUAGGAUUAUAUUGUAUUAAUCUUAACAUAAUUUAUCUGGUAGGUAAAAAGUGAAAAUUUGAUUUAGAAUGGAAGGUGCAAGUUUGUGAAGUUAGUUUUUGGGUUCUCUAAUUCACGCACGGCCUUAUCCUACCCAUAAAAUAAGGCAUUAAUGAUGAACUGAAUCCGAGUCAUUAUUUUUUGGCGAAUGAAUAAAGGAUGAUCCCACUCCACCUCUGUCUCUGUGUACCUUUGAUUCCAUUCCCUUGAGAGGCCAUAUUUUAACCGGAGUUUAAUCAUAUAUUUUAGAUCAGUUUUUAAAUAUUUAUUUAAUCAGAUUUUGAAUAUAUCUAAAUUAGAUUUUAAAUUUUAUCUUUAAAUAUCUAUUUGACUAUAUAAGAUGUAAUCAGAAUUUGAAAAUCUAAUCAAAUCUUAAAGUCAUAUAUAUUGAAUUAAAUUUUAAAAUUUUACCUUAAAUAUUUAUUCGACUAUAAAUCAGAUUUUUUGUAUAGUAAAAUAGGUAUUAGAAUAAGAUCAAAUUGUUUACUCAAACGAAUAUUAAAAUCUGAUCAAAUUGUAUAAUUAAACUACUGUCAAAAUCCGAUCAAAACUUAUAGUCAAACAAAUUGUUUAGCUUAGCCAGCCAAUAUACUGUAAAAUAAUGUGAUAUUAUGCAUUUUUAAUCAAGAUCACACGAUUUUCUCCAAAAGACCUCUACAUUAGCUUCUCAAUUUUUUAAGCUAUCAAUGUGAAGUUUUGUACAUACCUCCAACAAUCUCCUCCCUUUAACUAAAUUUUAUGUGGCCUGUCACACCCCUUUUUCGUACUCCAAAAGAAAGAAUUCGUUUUAAGUUUUGAAAGGAUUUUAUUAUUAAAGUGACAAAAGAUGAAAAUUGUUUCGAAAAGGAUUCAUUAGUUUCAAAACUCAGAGUCGCCACUUGACAUAAAUAGGGUGUGCCAAGUCACCCAUGAAUAUCCUUUUUCAAAACGGUUUUGACUCUAUAAAACUGAUCCGCGAACAGAGAUUUCGGCUAAGGAAUUCUGUUGACCGAGGGGAAGGUGUUAGGCACCCUUCGAUCCCGUGGUUCGACCACGGUCGCUUGGUGGAGCGUAUCGACUAAUCUGACACUACGAAUAUAUAAACCACACAAAAGCACGUAAAACAAUCAAACCAAUAAAUAAAACAAAACAAUUCAAAAAUAUAGUGUCCAGUCCAAUUAUUACAACCCGAAAAAUAAAUAAAAAUGCGAAAAUAAAUCCUAUCUAACCUAUACUAAUCCUAACUCCGCUCCCCGACUUUACCCGAUGCCUCGGGCCUUGAUCACGAUCCGCCUUCGCCAACAUGAUACGUCGAGCAUUCCCUGGUGAAUAAAUACAUCAAUCUCCGGGGCAUUCCCCGACCAAAUGAAUACAUUUAAUGAAAUGUGAUGAAAAUGAAGAAAAACACUCAACACAAAUAUUUACACAUUCGAUGAUUAAAAUCCUACGAUUUGCCUACCCUCCAAAACCUAGAACUUGCCUAUCAAUGCCCGACCUAAGACAUGAUACAGUUACACUUAACAUCAAUAUUUAAUUCAAAAUAAACCAACAACAAUAAAUCAAGACUAAUCUUAUUCAUUUUUAUCGAUUUUUCGAUCCCGACCCCAAACAACAACUUUAAUUCUCAAUCAACGAUUAACUAAUCUUUAGACUAUCAAUUUAAUCUUCAUAAUCCAAAUUCAGCACCAACCAACAUUCAUGAUUCAAACAUCACAAAAUCAAAAAUAUGAUUUUUAAAAUUUUUCGAGAAAAGGGAUGAGAAAUGGACCUUAAUCGAAGCUUUUAUUGUGCCAAACAAUGCAAUUAGAAAAUAGAACCGGGUCUGAAAGCCUCAAAUCGAACCUCAAUCGCAAACUCAAUAUAUGCUCGUUUCCGUUUUGACCGUUCACUGACAAACCACCGGAAUCGGACUGAAAUUGGUCCAGUCCGGUCGGGUUAGAGCUGGGGUCGCGGUUCCUAUCGCGACGGAACUUCGGCGAGCUCCGACAGUGACGAAGAACAAAGAGACACAGACAAUAGUGACGUUUCCGGCGAGAACUCGCCGGAAAAGACCUCAACUCCGAUGUAAUUUCCCCUUUCUCGCUCUUUCGAUUGGCUCUACUCAGUUCUCUCUCUCUUGUCUCAACCUCUCCCUCUCUCACAGCUCUCUCUCGAUCUUCUCUCUCACUCCUGAGUGUCCUCUGUGUGUGUGAAUAUUGGUGUAUCAGUAUGUGUGUAUGUUGGCGAUGAUGAUCGUGACUCAGAGAGAAUGGUGUUUUUCCUUGUGUUGAUGGAAAUUGGAGUAGAAGAAUGGUUGUUGUCUUUGUUGUGUGAAUGAAGCCAAAGAAAAUCCCAAAAAAAAUGGAGUCCCCUGCCCUUUGUCCUCUAUGUCUAUGGAUGUAUCCAAACCCAAAAAAGAAAAGUGAGGUCAUUUUUUUUUACCUUUUCCCGUGGACCCCACUCUAUUCAAUUUUUGAUCCUCUUCUCCUAGGAUGAUGACAAAAUGGGUCCUUUUGUUAGGUGUAUCCGUGGGUCCCCCUUCUUUUAGUGUGUUAUUGUGGGGAUAAAAAUGGAAGUGGGUAGGGAGGUGGUUUAUUUUGAUUGGGUAGGUUGUUAGGAUAAGAUAAAUUAGUUAGAGGUAUUGUUUUUUGUCUUUUCGUGAAGGGGUUAUCACACGGGUGAGGGCACACACUAAGACGAGGGUAAAAUGGUAAGAAUGCUUUCGGGGAGGGACAAAAUUAUAUGUUUACAUCAUGCCCCUCUUUGCAGAUAAACACAAAGUGUUUUCAUACAAAUAAGUAGAUGACGAGACAGAAUUUUGACCCGACCAUUAUUCACAGGGAAGAAACAAAAGGAAGAAGGACGAUCGAGUUGGAGAGUCGAGUGAGGUCCCGUCGAGGAUCCGAUCCGCGGCUCUGUCAUUACAUCAAAAAUGAAAAUUACAAGUUAAAACAUAAAUGAAAUUACAAAAAUCCUAUCNNNNNNNNNNNNNNNNNNNNNNNNNNNNNNNNNNNNNNNNNNNNNNNNNNNNNNNNNNNNNNNNNNNNNNNNNNNNNNNNNNNNNNNNNNNNNNNNNNNNNNNNNNNNNNNNNNNNNNNNNNNNNNNNNNNNNNNNNNNNNNNNNNNNNNNNNNNNNNNNNNNNNNNNNNNNNNNNNNNNNNNNNNNNNNNNNNNNNNNNNNNNNNNNNNNNNNNNNNNNNNNNNNNNNNNNNNNNNNNNNNNNNNNNNNNNNNNNNNNNNNNNNNNNNNNNNNNNNNNNNNNNNNNNNNNNNNNNNNNNNNNNNNNNNNNNNNNNNNNNNNNNNNNNNNNNNNNNNNNNNNNNNNNNNNNNNNNNNNNNNNNNNNNNNNNNNNNNNNNNNNNNNNNNNNNNNNNNNNNNNNNNNNNNNNNNNNNNNNNNNNNNNNNNNNNNNNNNNNNNNNNNNNNNNNNNNNNNNNNNNNNNNNNNNNNNNNNNNNNNNNNNNNNNNNNNNNNNNNNNNNNNNNNNNNNNNNNNNNNNNNNNNNNNNNNNNNNNNNNNNNNNNNNNNNNNNNNNNNNNNNNNNNNNNNNNNNNNNNNNNNNNNNNNNNNNNNNNNNNNNNNNNNNNNNNNNNNNNNNNNNNNNNNNNNNNNNNNNNNNNNNNNNNNNNNNNNNNNNNNNNNNNNNNNNNNNNNNNNNNNNNNNNNNNNNNNNNNNNNNNNNNNNNNNNNNNNNNNNNNNNNNNNNNNNNNNNNNNNNNNNNNNNNNNNNNNNNNNNNNNNNNNNNNNNNNNNNNNNNNNNNNNNNNNNNNNNNNNNNNNNNNNNNNNNNNNNNNNNNNNNNNNNNNNNNNNNNNNNNNNNNNNNNNNNNNNNNNNNNNNNNNNNNNNNNNNNNNNNNNNNNNNNNNNNNNNNNNNNNNNNNNNNNNNNNNNNNNNNNNNNNNNNNNNNNNNNNNNNNNNNNNNNNNNNNNNNNNNNNNNNNNNNNNNNNNNNNNNNNNNNNNNNNNNNNNNNNNNNNNNNNNNNNNNNNNNNNNNNNNNNNNNNNNNNNNNNNNNNNNNNNNNNNNNNNNNNNNNNNNNNNNNNNNNNNNNNNNNNNNNNNNNNNNNNNNNNNNNNNNNNNNNNNNNNNNNNNNNNNNNNNNNNNNNNNNNNNNNNNNNNNNNNNNNNNNNNNNNNNNNNNNNNNNNNNNNNNNNNNNNNNNNNNNNNNNNNNNNNNNNNNNNNNNNNNNNNNNNNNNNNNNNNNNNNNNNNNNNNNNNNNNNNNNNNNNNNNNNNNNNNNNNNNNNNNNNNNNNNNNNNNNNNNNNNNNNNNNNNNNNNNNNNNNNNNNNNNNNNNNNNNNNNNNNNNNNNNNNNNNNNNNNNNNNNNNNNNNNNNNNNNNNNNNNNNNNNNNNNNNNNNNNNNNNNNNNNNNNNNNNNNNNNNNNNNNNNNNNNNNNNNNNNNNNNNNNNNNNNNNNNNNNNNNNNNNNNNNNNNNNNNNNNNNNNNNNNNNNNNNNNNNNNNNNNNNNNNNNNNNNNNNNNNNNNNNNNNNNNNNNNNNNNNNNNNNNNNNNNNNNNNNNNNNNNNNNNNNNNNNNNNNNNNNNNNNNNNNNNNNNNNNNNNNNNNNNNNNNNNNNNNNNNNNNNNNNNNNNNNNNNNNNNNNNNNNNNNNNNNNNNNNNNNNNNNNNNNNNNNNNNNNNNNNNNNNNNNUAUUGAUGUAUCAUUGUUUCAAAGUAUCAAAAAUGUGGUGGCGACCGAAAUAACAAUCUCAAAUAUUAAUUGAUUUAAGUGAUGAAAGUUCUCUCUUAUCGGGUGGUAUGCCAGGGGCAUAAGCCUAGCAUGGGUCGAUCCCUAUUUAUGUGUUUAUGGGUGGUAUCCCAGGGGCAUAAGCCUAGCAUGGGUUGAUCCCAGUUGAUAUGUACUGGAGGCAGCCUAAUGGUCACAGUACAGUACAAUAAUGAUUACAAAGAUGAUAAGAAUGAAGGUAAAGUGAUUGAAUAAAUACAAUGUACAGGUUGUCACAAGUUCUAGUAAGUGUGGUCCACUCCUAUUAUGAUUUAUUCACUUGUUUCUGAUUUCUAUUGAGCUCCUACAUCAUAUGUGAUUAUCUACAGCUUUACAUACUCAGUACAUAUUUCGUACUGACGUCCCCCAUUGGGGACCUACAUUUCAUGCUGCAGGCACAGGUACCUCAGUUCAUCCACUGCACAAGUAGGCGCCAGGAUAUCCAGCUGCUUUUGGAGAGCUCCAGUUUGCUUCAAGGCUUUUUGUGUCAUAUCCAGUCACUUUUGAUAUUGUAUAGAAGUUAGUUAUAUGGCGGGGUGUGUCCCGACCUUAGUUAAACUCUGUGUAUUGUCUAGAGGACUUGUAGACCUAAUGUACAGUCAAGGUGGCGUUUUGUUAAUAGACGUGAUGGCUCCAACGGCCAAGUAUUGUAUAUACAUAUAUAUGUGUGCUCGAGCUUAUACAGGUGAUUAUUUCCUUUUAUAUGCAACAUGAUGCUGUCCGAAUUUCGGGUUGUCAUAGAGGUAUGCAUGGAAAGUAUAAGGUUAUGAGCUGGUUCUUUCGGGCCUCCUCGGUUACGGGUGUCAGUCCGCCCCAAUAGGAUUUGAGGCGUGACACCAUGCUUCUCAGAUAAACUCUUUGACCCUUGGUAUUUUCAUGAAUUCCCAGAAUUUUCUGUUGACACAACUUUCUGCAUGCCUUAUUUCGGCUUACAAUCAUGUCUCUUUCAUGUGUUGGCCUUUUGUCUUGCUUUCUGCAAUUGAAGAAGAUGGUAGCUAGUUUUGAGAUCUUUUCUCACUUGUUAUGACAUGAACUUGACUCAAAGACAAGACAAAAAAUGACAAUGAUUUUAUUGGACAACUGACUAAAGAAAAUAAAACAAAAAUAAAGAGAAGAAAGAAAAGACAAUGAAUGUCCCCAUUUGAAAUAAAGAAAUGAAAAAUUUAUCUAGAAAUGACAGUCAACUCUAAUGAUUAUGCCAUGUAUUUUGGGAUCAAGCUACCUGAUCUUUCCAUCCAAACUUUCUACCAAUUGUUGUUGAGUUAAUGACCCUGAAAUUGAGUUACUUCCUUGGGUCAAUCGCAUUCAGAGACCUCAUUCGGCUAGUGGCACCUUGAAAGGUUUUCGCCAACAAGCCUUUCUUAUUUUAUUUUCCUCAGCUCACCAUUGCCUUAUGGUGUCUAUAAGGGUUUUUCACUAAUGAAACUCUGAUUUUCAUUUGUCUCAACUCACCGUAGCCUUACAGUGCCCGUGAGGGUUUUCACCGAUAAGAAUCUCUCAGUUUUAUUUCUCUCAACUUAGCAUUCAUCUCACAGUUCCCAUGAGAGUUUUCACCAAUAAGACUCUCUUAUUUACUUCCCUCCUGGUUUCUUAUACUGAGAAAGACGAGUAGUUCCUAAAAUGUGUCAUCACAUCCAUUGCAUGCUUAGCCUUAACAUUCUCAAAGAUUGAUCUGAAGGUCUUUCUUUGGUUGUAACUUGGCUUUUGGAUAGGGUUCGAAAGAAAGGAUGGCAUGGGGCCCAAAUGACACUUGAAGUGGGGUGGAACUUACAACUUUUGGAAUCGACUCAAACAAUGAGGAUUAACUCAUGCCCUAGUUUCUUUUGACUGGAUGAUGCUAAAUUAUUUAUUUGGUUAUACCGAGCCCUUAGUAGGGCAGCCUACGUAUCUCACCCCCGAGAGAGGAGAAUCAGGUCAUACGUUGUUCUGGCAGCUUGUUCUUUUGCUUUGAUCUAAUUUUUCUUUCUUUUUUCCUUUUAUUCGCUCUUUUCACUUUGCGAUUAUUUUUUUCUAACUCUAUUUUUGUUGACACUCUUUUUUUUUUGGAAACAUUUUUGUCUUUUUUUUUGUAACUUUUUGACUUUAUCUUUUUACUCGACACUAUUCUUUGAACUUUACUUACUCUAUCUUGAUUUCAAAAGAGGGGUAAGAAAGAAAAUAACACAGGCUCAAAUGGGAUAAACAAAGGAUGACACAAUGUUUGGAUAGUAGAAUGAAAUACCUUCAUCAUAUCAAUCCUUGAGAAUGCAAGUACAUAACAUGCAAUUGGAAGUGAGAGAUGAAGAUCAUUUGCGACAUCUUUUUAAGAAGAUUGAGUCUGUGCGUCACUACUUCUUUUGGAAACUCCACCUUUGUUGUACAUUCCUCACAUCAAAUGACUCAUGCUUUCAUGGAGCUGCUUAUCUUCUUGUUUCUCUUGAUAUAGGGAUCACACGUCCACUAUUUGACCUAAUUGGGACUUGCCUUUCGAUCGAUGACCAAGUGGUUCUUGUGAUUCUCAAAAUAAUUGCCUUAAUUUGUCACCAAAUGUUUCAACACUCUAUCUAUUUUCUCAUACGCUCUCUUUUCUAACUUUAACCUUCUGAUUCAAUGUUUAUGCUUAAACUGGAUUUUAAGAUCUGACUGAAAAUUUCACUAGCAUGUCAUAUCACUAGAGUCAACACAAAAUGUACUAUGUAAAGAAAACAAACAAACAACACAUAUUUAAAACACAAAGGAAAAUGAGACACUUCAUUUAGUCGAAACAAAAGAUAGAAGGGUUUGAACAUAAAUAAAAAAAAGGACAAAACAAGAUAGAUCCCGAACUACAGCCCUGAAGUAAUUUGGAGAACAGAAAAUAAAACAAAAUAAGCUACCAAACCCCUUCCUAGUAAGGAGAGGGGUGACUUCUCAAUUGCUCAGCCUGACAUCUUAGCCACUGGUUUCCAUAUCAGCAUGACUAGAGCUUUCCUCACUGUCAAUGUUCUGCACCAUGAUUGAUUUAUCUUGAAUCAUCUUUUCAAUUUCUCUUUUCAAAGCACGACAAUCUUCAAUACUGUGACCCUGAACAUCGGAAUGAUAUGUACAUCGUACAUUAGGAUCAAAACUUCUUGAAUGUGGGUAAGGAGUAUACCCAAGGAGAGGAGUGAUCAUGCCCUGUUGUACCAAUCUAUGGAAUAAACUUGCAUACGACUCUCCAAUGGGUGUAAAGUUAUCCCUCGACUUCCGUCUCAUUUUAUUAUUUGGCUUAAAUUGAAAACCAGGCCUAGAAGGGCUUCGGUAUGGAUACGGAGUUGGAGGAUAACUCGGCAGAGUUGGCGCGCGCCAGUGUGGGUAAGAUGGGAGUUGAACAUUUGGUUGCGCAUUAUAAACUUGCUAUGGAGAUGGGGGAAUGGAAUAUAAUGGAUUUUGGGAAGGAUUCUGUGGAACUUGGCCAUAAACUUGGGUUUGAGCCCGUGGGUAACGAUGUUAUGGUCCUCUUGCCCGUGCCUGUUGUCCAACUAUAAUAGCAGAUGCAUCUUUCUCAUUCUUCUUUCCUCCAACACUUCUCGAACCUUUUUGAAUUGCUUGAGUAGUCGAUUUCAAUGUUGAAAAACUCACAAUGCGACCAGUAUUAAUUCCAUCCUCUAUCAUUUCCCUCAUUUUGAGGACCUCAAUAAAUGGCUUGCCUAAUGUAGGUAACAAGUGUUGAUAAUAUAUUUCAUCUUGCGCUGGAAUAAACACCUCCACUAUCUUGUUUUCUUUCAUUGGCGAUUUUACUCUAGCAGCUUGUUCACACCAUCUGAUCGCAUACUCCCUGAAACUCUCAGUAUUCUUCUUUUUUAUACCAGUUAGGAAUUUAUCGUCAGGAAUCAACUCCAUAUUGUAUUGAAAUUGUUGCACGAAUUUGUUAGCAAGGUCAUCCCAGUUGUUCCACUUGUCGAUGUCUUGGUCAACAAACCAUUCUGAAGCUAGACCUGAAAGACUCUCACCUAAAUAUGCCAUGAGUAAUUCUUCCUUCCCUCCAGCACCCUUUAGCUGGUUGCAACAACGUCUCAAAUGUGCUACAGGAUCACCAUGUUCAUCAUACUUCUCAAACUUCGGCAUUUUAAAACCAAGAGGAAGAUGUACACCAGGAAACAUUCACAGAUCUUUAUAUGAGACACUUUUGUACCCCCUAAGUCCUUGCAAGUUUUUCAUAGUUAGUUCCAAACUUCUCAAUUUUCUGGCUAUUUCCUCUUGUUCUUUUGUCAUAACAGGCUUCUCAGUGUUAGGAGAAAAUUCAGGCGGUUGAGGGCAAUCGUAAGGACCAGUCGAAUUAAAUGUGGGCUCGAGAACAUAAUGCUGAUCACUAAAAAUAUUCAAUGCAGGCUCUCUUGUAAAGUAGGGAGGCACAACUUGUGGAUGAACAUCAAAAGUAGAAGCUUCAAGUAGGGGUGGCGCCGCAAAAGUAUGAACAACAGCUGGAGCCGAGUAUAUGGUAGUCUUUGAUUGGGGAAUGAGGAAAUGAACCUUGGAAGUGGUUGGAUAUUGUUGCCCCGGAGUCGAUCCUGAUGCAUGUUGUGGCAUAUCAACAAAAAUGGAAAAUUAUGCAUGUGACACGGGAGGCAAGUUAGAAAGAUAUUCCAGAUUAUCAGUGGGAACUGGAGGAGGUGGCAACCCAUUAGCUCAAGCUCGAUGCAUUUCUAUUAUUGGCCGCCUUAAUUUCUGAAUCUCUUCAUUAUCUCUGAGAACCCCCUAUCUGAUUAGUGACAACUAACUCGGUAUCCUUGUUGGCCAUAACUUCCUCUGUGACUUGGAGCAAUAUGGAGGACCAGCCAAAAUGCCACAAACCAACCACCUUAAACUAACUGGACAAGAGAUAACAAAUGGUUAGAGUUCAACAGUUUUUNNNNNNNNNNNNNNNNNNNNNNNNNNNNNNNNNNNNNNNNNNNNNNNNNNNNNNNNNNNNNNNNNNNNNNNNNUAAGAGAUACGACCAAAGACAGACGAUGAACCAUGUUAAUAAAAUCUUUUGAGUUUUCAUUUUGAUACUUCACAGAAAAAUGACAUCAACAACUAUGAAAGAAAAAUCUUUUUGGUAUUUUCGUUAUACGAAAUGUAAAAAAUUUCUAACAUCUUUUUUUUUUCAUUUUUCUUUUAUAAACACAUCCUAUGAAUGAAAAAAUCUUUUUGAAGUUUUCGAAUGGUGAAUGCAUGCUAAACGAGACAAAGGAAAAUCUUUUUGAUGUUUUUGAGAAAAUGAGUGCGAAAGGUAAAAAAGUCCUUUUGAAUUUUGAAAUUGUGAAAAAUAAAAGCCAUAAAAAACUCUAAAAACUACGAAACUUUUUUUUUCUUGUUUUUUUUUUCAUUAACCACACACUUUACUUCUAACACAUGUUUUUUCCAAAUCAGUCCGUCAAAUGACCACGUUAUCCUCAAAAAUGCAAUAUUUAGCAAGUAGGGAUGCUUUAGAGGUGAGUCUCCUACAAAGGACCAAGUGGGCCCCGCUAGGUCUCAAUAUGAUGCACGUAAGCAUGACCUAAAGGCUGACCUACGUUGGGGUUCACUAACAAGGCUAUUCGGGGGAGCGUAUGGUCGAUAGUGGCUGCGACAGCUUUCCACCUACUCCAUAACACCGACGGCUCCCCCCUAAAAUAAGGGUGACUCAACUAGAGGUCGUGUACAACACGUGUACUACGGACUUGUUGCAGAAAGAAGAUCGAGGAUAGACACAUGAUGCCAGAUAUAAAAGCGGUAACACAUAGGAUAAAUAUUGUACACAAUGAGCACGAAAACAUUCCAUAAUGAUAAAACAGUAACACAAAACAACACAUAAAAAAAUGUUUAUGCACCUAUAGUUCCAAACAAAGUCGAUACGACUCCAAAAUAAGCUCAAAUUCUGAACAAGUUCUCCAGCAGAGUCGCCAGAGCUGUCACACCCCUUUUUCGUACUCCAAAAUAAAGAAUUCGUUUUAAGUUUCGAAAGGAUUUUAUUAUUAAACUGACAAAAGAUGAAAAUUAUUUCGAAAAGGAUUCAUUAGUUUCAAAACUCAGAGUCGCCACUUGGCAUAAAUUGGGUGUGCCAAGUCACCCAUGAAUACCUUUUUUUCAAAACGAUUUUGAAUCUACAAAACUGAUCCGUGAACAGAGAUUUCGGCUAAGGAAUUCUGUUGACCGAGGGGAAGGUGUUAGGCACCCCUCGAUUCCGUGGUUCGACCACGGUCACUUAGUGGAGCGUAUAGACUAAUCUGACACUACGAAUGUAUAAACCACACAAAAGCACAUAAAACAAUCAAACCAAUAAAUAAAACAAAACAAUUCAAAAAUAUAGUGUCCAGUUCAAUUAUUACAACCCGGAAAAUAAAUAAAAAUGCGAAAAUAAAUCCUAUCUAACCUAUACUAAUCCUAACUACGCUCCCCAACUUUACCCGAUGCCUCGGGCCUUGAUCACGAUCCGCCUUCGCCAAUAUAAUACGUCGGGGCAUUCCCCGGUGAAUAAAUACAUCAAUAUCCGGGGCAUUCCCCGACCAAAUGAAUACAUUUAAUGAAAUGUGAUGAAAAUGAAGAAAAGCACUCAACACAAAUAUUUACACAUUCGAUGAUUAAAAUCCUACGAGUUGCCUACCCUCCAAGACCUAGAACUUGCCUAUCAGUGCCCGACCUAAGACAUGAUACAAUUACACUUAACAUCAAUAUUUAAUUCAAAAUAAACCGACAACAAUAAAUCAAGACUAAUCUUAUUCAUUUUUAUCGAUUUUUCGAUCCCGACCCCAAACAACAACUUUAAUUCUCAAUCAACGAUUAACUAAUCUUUAGACUAUCAAUUUAAUCUUCAUAAUCCGAAUUCAGCGCCAACCAACAUUCAUGAUUCAAAUAUCACAAAAUCAAAAAUAUGAUUUUUAAAAUUAUUCGAGAAAAGGGAUGAGAAAUAGACCUCAAUCGAAGCUUUUAUUGUGCCAAAAAAUGCAAUUAAAAAAUAGAACCGGGUCCGAAAGCCUCAAAUAGAACCUCAAUCGCGAACUCAAUAUAUGCUCAUUUCUGUUUUGACCGUUCACCGACAGACCACCAGAAUUGGACUGAAAUUGGUCCAGUCCGGUCGGGUUAGAGCUGGGGUCUCGGUUCCUAUCGCGACGGAACUCCGGCGAGCUCCGACAGUGAUGAAGAACAAAGAGACGCAGACAACAGUGACGUUUUCGGGGAGAACUCGCCGGAAAAGACCUCAACUUCGAUGUAAUUCCCCCUUUCUCGCUCUUUCGAUCGGCUCCACUCAGUUCUCUCUCUCUUGUCUCAACCUUUCCCUUUCUCGCAACUCUCUCUCUCUCGAUAUUUCCCUCUCACUCCUGAGUGUCCUGUGUGUGUGUGAAUAUUGGUGUAUCAGUGUGUGUAUGUUGGUGAUGAUGAGCGUGACUCAGAGAGAGUGGUGUUUUUCCUUGUGUUGAUGGAAAUUGGAGUAGAAGAAUGGUUGUUGUCUUUGUUGUGUGAAUGAAGCCAAAGAAAAUCCCAAAAAAAAUGGAGUCCCCUGCCCUUUGUCCUCUAUGUCUAUGGAUGUAUCCAAACCCAAAAAAGAAAAGUGAGGUUCUUUUUUGGACCUUUUCCCGUGGGCCCCACUCUAUUCAAUUUUUUAUCCUCAUUCUCCUAGGAUGAUGACAAAAUAGGUCUUUUUGUUAGGUGUACCCGUGGGUCCCCUUCUUUUAGUUUGUUAUUGUGAGGAUAAAAAUGUAAGUGGGUAGGGAGGUGGUUUAUUUUGAUUGGGUAGGUUGUUAGGAUAAGAUAAAUUAGUUAGAGGUAUUGUUUUUUGUCUUUUUGUGAAGGGGUUAUCACGCGGGUGAGGGCACACACUAAGACGAGGGUAAAAUGGUAAGAAUGCUUUUCGGGAGAAACAAAAUUAUGUGUCUACAUGGCCUAUCACCACGUUCCACGAGUCAAUUUUUAAGAUUUAUUAUAUGCCAUCUACAUCGUCUAAUUAUUUUAUGGCAAUCAAAUUUUUUUUGUGUGCGCAUCUCCAAACUAGUUAAAAGUAAGCAAAAAGAGCUCUCCACCACAUGACUCAGACACAUCCCCAUGCUCAUAAUAUCCUAACUUAGAGGCUUUGAUAUUAAUUGUUGGUUCAGUCAACAACUAAGCUAGCACGAUUUUCUUCAAAUUGUCUCACAUCAUUAAGAGAUGUUACACUUUAUAUGUAUAUUCUCAAUCUACAUUCUCAAUCUACUUCAGCUACCAUGUGAGACUUCUAUUUAUAUACCAACACAAAUAUUUAAAAAUAAAUUUUCAAAAAUCUGAUUCAAAAUAUAUAGUCAAACGUUAGCUAAAGUUGGACAUCUCAAUGGAAUGGAAAUCAAAAGUGCACACCAUUGGAGAAAAUCUGAUCUUCAAAUAUUUUAAAGUUAUAUUUAGAUUGGAUUUCUGAGACAUCUUUUUUUUUUUUCUAAAAUAAAUGAAAAGGAGUAAGGAAAAGGAAAAUGAGACCGCAGAUUAGCUCUUAUCAACAAAGUGAAAAUUCACGUAGCCAAUCAACUAUAUGUCUAAUUUUUGGAACUUUCACUUACAAAACUUUAAUAUUUUCAAGUAAAUGUAUAUUCAAACACAAUUUCAAAUUUUAAAAUGAAAUUCAAAAACUCAAAUUCUCAAAUGUCGAGCUUUCAAAAUUUAUAGCUCAACAAGAGUUGCGUCAUUUUAAUUUUGUUUUAGCUUAUGGUUGAGGCUACCUGAUUUAGGACUUUUCAUCUUUAUAAGUGGUUAUCUGUCUUUGAUUUGACUGAAUUACUAGAAAUGGUAGUUAUAAACUACCAUUUAUGUGCAACCCUUUCUUUUCCCCACAAACUUCCAGACUCCAAAUUGUGUUUUGGAGCUCCCAUUAAUUCGAAUUUGCCUCACAUAAAUUAAAACAUUGGUGGUUAUGUGCAAGCCACUGUACUAUGUAUUAAAUUAAAAACAAUUGUUUUCUCUAUCUUUCCAACCAGAUUGUGUGUAAUUCUACCAAAAGUAAAAGAGAUGAUUUAACCCUUCAGGUUUUCAGCAGUGUCACAUAAAGUUCUUUUGUGGUAUGAAUCUAAGAAUUUUUUUGCUGCAUCUCGGGGAAUGACAACAGUCUUUGCUUGAUCAAUUUACCUCCUGAACACAAGUCGACUAAUACCAAUACAGUUCUUCCCUGGCCUAGCUUAACCCAAGGAAAAUGUAGAGUCAGUGAGUAUAGCGUGAAACAAUUAUGAUGUCAGUGUCUUAAGUUAAAUUCUAACCAUAUAUAAUAAUAUGAAUAAAAACUUAGGUAUUAUUAAUUAAUUGGUUUAAAUUGUACAGUUAGUUGAUCCAUUAGCAAAACGUAAGAAAAUCCCAAAAAAUCAAUGUUGAGCCAAAUUCUGUUGCAGAAUUUAGAGAUUGGAAACAAAUUUCAGUUUACAAAAAAGAAAAAUCAAGUCAGGCUGAGGAAUAUGUUACAGGUGAUAACUUGAACUAGUCCACAUUGCAAAUUGGGCUACACUUUGCAAAAUAGCAGAGUCAUAUUGGUCUGCUAUUGUGUUUAUAUCGAUACCCCGACUUGGCAACACUCUGGCUGAAAUCAACGUGUAUCCUUCGACGAUCAAUUUCAGUGUUAUCCAUCUUAUAAUGUGCUUGUUCACAGGCUUCUUUGGUUUCAAACUCAAUGAAACCAUAGCAUAGCUAUUCCAAGUCUAGUAAUCCCUAACAAUUUCAGCAGAUUUAACGGUCUCAGCACAUGAGAAGAAGAUUAUAACAAGGAUUCAUCGUCAGUAGCCUCAUUCAGUUUGCAAACAAAUAACACAUUGUCAGGAGGCUUUAUUUCAGCAUCAGGAAAAUCCCCUAUACUUUCAAGUACUACUGCCCGGGAAUGUGCUUCUUUCACGCGCACAACCUCCUCAGGUUCUGUGUCUCUCAUCCAUUGGCACCCAAUCAUCUUCUAGUCGCGUAUCAGCAUCUUCAUGUGAUGCACCAGAAAGUUUUAAGUCUGCUUAUCCGUAAACAGUGUGCUUUCCAUCAAGACAAUCAGUAUCAUCACACAAUGUGAUAUAGAAUUGAGAAGCGUUUAGAUUUCCCCCCGCGCUAGCCAUGGCUACAGUUUCCUUCUUUGAAUGAUUCAAAUCCGGAUCAGUCUCAUCUCCAAAGAAUAGAGCUUGAUCACCAUGUGAAAAUUUGUAAACUGAAUCGCCCGCGGAACCUGUUCCCGUGGGAUCUCCGGUCUGCACGAUGAAAUCCUUCUAAAUUGUGUGAAAAAGGUAGCUAUUGUACUAGUUGAUCUUGCACAAUUUGUAAGAUCAAAUUGUAACUCUUGCAUGUUAAGGGACAGCGAUCUGUAAAUAAGUCGACUACAAAGUCGCCUAAACUAGUUACAAUCAUUACGGACAGUUUUGCAAGAACGGGGAAGAAGAAGAGUAAUGAUAAAAUAACUCAUCUAGUGUAAUUACUCACAUUCACAUAGUUAGUUAGGAAUUACAGUUGACUAACCAAACUAACUAAUCAGUUAGUUGGUUAUGCUGACUAAGCAGUGAUCUUCCUAUUACUAAUUUUUUUUUUGGUUCCCACGGUAUCCCCACAGCCGGCAGUCGUGAAACUAAUCUUCCGUUCCUUCGAUCAGCGCACUACGCUUAACUAUACUUGUAUAUAUAAAUAUAUCCUUAACUCUAUUUUGUAUAUAUAAAUAUAUCCUUAACUCUUUGUAAAUGACUUAAUGAUUACAGAUUAAUCAAUAAAAUUCACUACUACUCUCUCUCUCUUCAUAUUUCUUCUUCUGCUUUUUUCUUAAACUCUGUAUACUAUACUGAGUUCAUGCUUGAACUCAUAGAAGAAGAAUAAGAAUUCUUCCAAGUAAAAAGUUGGCUAAUGAAAAGGUUACGUUUAUUUGAUUUCUCAAACCUUCUUUGUGCAGGAAUACCUAUAAUAAUUUUUCUUUUCUCCUUUCCAUCAUAAUAUUUUCGCCCCUUUAAUAAGUCACAUGUGAGCGUAUUACUAAAUCACGUUCUUUUAAUUGGACUACACUCUAGCAUAAAUGAGAAUUUAGUUAGGACAUGACACUGACCAAUUUACAAUACAAACUACAAGUAUACAAUUGAAAUUCUAAAAAGUUACUGCAUCUUUGCAGUAUUUUGUCAAAAGGACAAUUAUAUUUUCCUAGAGAAAUUACUUUUCCUUCUUCAUUAAUACUAAAAAGUAAUCAUUUUUUCCCUAAAAGUUUAACCAAACACCUUUAACUUUUACAAUUAAACCAAGCAAUGUCUUGUUAAAGGAAAAUCACUUUUGACCUUACUAAAAUUCCGCUAAACGGACAACAGUGUGCAGACAGCACAAAUCAAGCAACUAGUAACACAGUUUAAAUCCUAUACCGUUCCCCAUAUCAAUUUAGAGAAACGUAGAAUCUUGUCAUGAAGGUAAUCUGAUAAACUAAUAAGAGAAGACAAAUUCAAUAGAAACUAAAUAGAUUUGUGAAAACGAAUAGAUCUUUAUUUUCUACUCUAGAGAACGAGGCUGCCUGCGAAAAGGCACAUCCUUCUUUAUUACCACAACAUCACCAAGUUGUUCUUUACCAUCUUCAGCCUCUUUUGCAUUUUCCACCUUCGUCUCCGUUUUCUUCUUUGAUACUCUGAAUGCGCUCUUUAAGCCGUUCAUAAGCCUUCGACUAAAAUUACUCUUUUCCACUUUUGUACUUUCUUCGAAUGAUAUUUCUGAUGAAUUGGACGACCCCAUGAUCGCUCUAUCUCUAGCUGUAAGUAUCCGAAAGCUUGCUGAAGAGACUGAUCCAAUUUGCCCUCUAUCAAUCUUAUUCUCGGAACUCAAUCGAAAACUAGCUGAGCGAGCAGAGUUAUGAGACAAAUUAUUCUUCGCGUUUUGAUCUGAUUCUUCAAGAAGCUUCUUCAUGCCACUCAACUCUUGCUCUAGACUCUGGAUUCGCGAGCUCGUGGCGUUCAUUGCUGCCUUGAGCUGUGAGACUUGACGAAGUGCUGCAUCUCGUUCGAGAAUUGUACCCAAAGUGACUUCGUUUUUGUUUUGGAGCUGAUGAUUCAUGUGAUGAUCGCGGUGUUGGUGUUGGUGUUGGUUGUUGUCAGAAACAGUCGCGGUUAGGAUAGAGCGACGGGUGUUCAAUUGCUCAAUGAACAUAGCUUGGACGACAAACCUUAAAGGCAUUUUGGCGUUUUGAACCGCGUGCAUGAGAAGUUGAGGCGAGAGGAUUGUACAGUCGAUGUAAUUGCACAUUGCAAUUUUUUCUUCAUCUGAUAUCUUCCCCUUGUAUUCCUGUUGAAAGAACAGAGUUACUAACAAAUUAAAUGACAAAACCAAUGAAGUGCAUCAUCGGGAAAUUAUGAACUACUACUCAAUUAUUUUUACAUGUCACAUUUUGCUUCUGAGAGCAAACUCAUAUGAACUUGACCAAUAUAGAGAGUAAAAUGCAACUCAUAUUUUCAUACAUCUUUCGAAUAUCUAAGUUUAAAAUGUUAGUAAUUUAGUUUGAUUCUAUUUAGCUUUCAAAAUUAAUUAAAUUGACUCUUGCAACGCAAAACGAUACAAGUAAAAUUAAAUGGAGAUUGAAAAUAACAAAAUUUCUUGCCUUAAGAUAAAGGUCAACAACUCUAUAGAGCUGAUCAUGGCUUCCGCCCAACCACCGAUUCAUUGACGUGAUGAUUACCAGAAAUUCCACAGGCCGCAACUCUUUAACGUCGUUGAGGCACCUCAAAAUGCAAUCACCGUCGUCUACCAAACUUAACGCUUCAAUACAUCUACUCAACAGUGACGACGUCGUUUCACACUCCGGAAGCAGGGGAAUACAAGAACGCAGCACGAUCGAUGCAUACUCACGAUUAACGGCAAUUACACGCCGGAAAUAUGCUUCCGUUCUCUGAGCCAAGUUUUCGCCACCUGCAAUGUUAUUAGCCUCCGCCAUUUCUAGCAAUUCCGCCGCCGUACGAAGUGCGGCGACGUUAAACGGCGUUAUGACGAUGUGAGAGUCGUAGCAGAACUCGGCGAUUAAGGAAAAUGUUUCGGCCGUUAUCUUUAACGGCGGAGAGAGGGUUAAUUCGGACAAACCCUUCAGCUUCCUUUUCAGAAAUCCACUCCUUGCUGCCAAUGGAUCCUAAGGUAAAUUUAGGAAAUAUUCAGUAAAUGUCUCCAGCUUUUGCAUUAAUGGUGAAAUGUACACUUCAGUUUGCAGGCACAGCUCUCAAGUAUAAAGGAGGAAAAGAAACGGAGUUAAAAAGGGUUUAAAAAAUAAAUAAAAAAUUUGGUGCAUCGUAAAUGUAUUUUUUAUAAAAAUAAAUAACCUGCGGUAAAAGUCAUAUGAUAGUGUAAAAAAAAUACACCGACAAUUCAUCAAACUUCAACUCAAAAAAAAGUACAUCUAAACUAUUUGAAUUUUUUGAGUUUCAUCUAAACUAUAUGAAUUUUUUGAGUUUCAUACUUAAACUAUCAUACGUAUGAGUUUUUUAUUAGAACUGUCACCAAUAUUUACAAAAUAGGUAAAUAUUUCAUAGUUAAAGUGUGUUUUGAUAAAUAUUUGGUGAUAGCAUGAGAGUUGUCCUACUCUAAAAAGGAGAGGAGAAGAAAGCAAAUUGUUGCUAUUUGGUGAGAGAACUCCUUGCUUAUCGAUAGGAGAAGAAUAAGUAGAGAUCAUAUUAUUACUUAUUUAUAUUUAUAUUUAUAUUUAUAUUAUAUAGAAAAGGUUAUUUUGACCACCUCACAUGCAAUUACUAAAAAGUCCCUCCACUCUCACUUAAUUACAUAUCAUGUCUCAAUAUAUAAUAAUUUCAUUGUUUCAUCAUAAUGAUUUAAAUAUUUAAUAUAUUCUAUUAAUUAUAUUAAUUAAUUAUAACUACAUAUUAGAAGUAAUUUAUAUUUAUUUAUAUAAUUGUCUAUCAUGUUCAAAACUAAUGUGUGAAUCACAAUAAUNNNNNNNNNNNNNNNNNNNNNNNNNNNNNNNNNNNNNNNNNNNNNNNNNNNNNNNNNNNNNNNNNNNNNNNNNNNNNNNNNNNNNNNNNNNNNNNNNNNNNNNNNNNNNNNNNNNNNNNNNNNNNNNNNNNNNNNNNNNNNNNNNNNNNNNNNNNNNNNNNNNNNNNNNNNNNNNNNNNNNNNNNNNNNNNNNNNNNNNNNNNNNNNNNNNNNNNNNNNNNNNNNNNNNNNNNNNNNNNNNNNNNNNNNNNNNNNNNNNNNNNNNNNNNNNNNNNNNNNNNNNNNNNNNNNNNNNNNNNNNNNNNNNNNNNNNNNNNNNNNNNNNNNNNNNNNNNNNNNNNNNNNNNNNNNNNNNNNNNNNNNNNNNNNNNNNNNNNNNNNNNNNNNNNNNNNNNNNNNNNNNNNNNNNNNNNNNNNNNNNNNNNNNNNNNNNNNNNNNNNNNNNNNNNNNNNNNNNNNNNNNNNNNNNNNNNNNNNNNNNNNNNNNNNNNNNNNNNNNNNNNNNNNNNNNNNNNNNNNNNNNNNNNNNNNNNNNNNNNNNNNNNNNNNNNNNNNNNNNNNNNNNNNNNNNNNNNNNNNNNNNNNNNNNNNNNNNNNNNNNNNNNNNNNNNNNNNNNNNNNNNNNNNNNNNNNNNNNNNNNNNNNNNNNNNNNNNNNNNNNNNNNNNNNNNNNNNNNNNNNNNNNNNNNNNNNNNNNNNNNNNNNNNNNNNNNNNNNNNNNNNNNNNNNNNNNNNNNNNNNNNNNNNNNNNNNNNNNNNNNNNNNNNNNNNNNNNNNNNNNNNNNNNNNNNNNNNNNAAUAUAGCAUCCCGUAUUUAAUUAAUAUACUACUCCGAUGAAUUAUCGAUGAUUACUAUUGGAUAUGAUAAAAUUGUAUUAAUUUUUAUAGUAAUAACAUAAUCAAUCGCUCUUAAUUAAUUAUUAUGAGUCAUCUAGGUAUUAAGAAAAUAAAUAAUAUUUAAUGAAAAAUAAAAUUAACAUAAAAUGCAAAAUUAACUCUUAAUAUUUUAAAUUAAAUUUUUGCCUUUCGAACGAUGAUUUUACUAUAUCACUCCUUAUUAUAAGUCAUUUAUGUAUUAGAAAAUAAGAAUAACAAAAUGAUAUGUCAACAUAAAAAACAUAUGGCAUGGUACUAUUGACUCCUUCACUUGACUUGGCAUGCGACGUCAUUUGACACGUGACGCUCAUUUGGGCCUCUAGAACAUGACAAUAUGUUGGGCGUAGCAAAGUGGGCUCAUCAUUUGUAACCCAAAUUAAUGGACUAGCCCAAUAAACAUUGGACCUUAUUAAAUCCAUGUGUUUGGACUUAAAUAAUUAAUUUAAUUAUAUUAAUCCGUAAUUAUUUGAGAUUAAUAUAUUUUAAAUUUAACAUAAUCCGAAUUUUGUACAGAUUUUAAUUUAAUAAAAUUUCGUUGCCUACAAUAAUUAAAUAAUAAUUCAAAGAAACAAUGAAAAAUGAAUUUGUCUAAAUGAGAGACUUUUAAUAGAGGACAAAAAGUUCGAAUCACUUUUCUAACGGUCUUCACACUUUUAAUAUUAUAGAUUAUAGAUUAUAGAUAUAGAUUAUAAAUAUAGAUUAUAGAUAUAGAUAUAGAUUAUAGAUAUAUAUUGAUAUAGAUUAUUGAUAUAUUUUUGUACUUCUCUCUUUUUUUGUGUGUUAUUUAUUUUUCUUGUAUUUAAAUAUAAAAAUAAUUAUACUAACUAAUUAUUUUUGGACUAAAAAUAUUAAUAAUAACUAAACUAUAAGAAGAAGUAAUUAGAAAAAAUAUUAAAUUUAUUAAUUGUAUUCCACAUCGUCCUUGGUGCACUGCUAUCCAUAUAAACCCUCUAGGCCAUUCUUUCUUUUCACAGCUUUCAUUGGUUCUCAAGUUUUAUUAUAAAACCAAACUAAUAGAAAUAUAUAUGUCUCCUUUGUUAUUAGAUUAUCUUCUUGCAUAUCAUUUCUUUUUAAAAAUAAAAAAUAUAAAUAUUUUUCUUUUUUGUUUAGAUUCCCAUUACAUUCAAGACCAAGAAUUUACGAAAUUGAAAAUUAGUGAAGUCCACGACAGCAGUGUGUAGUAAGAAUUAGUCUAUGUGAUCAAUUUGGUGUCACUUGUUAAUAUUUAGCCAUGAUUUGUAAUUAAAUAUAAUUAAAAAUGCUAAUUUUGUAAGGUGAAAAUAUUAUAAAAUGCGAGUAAACAAAGUAUUACUCCUAUUAAUAAGAGUGAAGAAGCUGGCAGCUCUUCGUACUGCUUCUUCACCCGCUUCAGUUGCUCCGUAAUUUUACUAUAUUAUCCCUAAUAUAUUAUUUUAAAUUAUUUAUAUAUAAAAAAUUAAUAAUACUUAAUUAAAAAAAGAUAAAAUAAACAUUGAUGACAUGUCUGUUUCAGCUAUUUCAAUCGUAGUUUAAUUAUAUCAUCUCAAAUUAAUUAUUAUAAGUCAUCUAGAUAUUAAAAAAUUAAUAAUAUUUAAUAAAUAAUAAAAUAGAUAUAAAUGAUAAAUCAAUUCUUGAUGUUUUAAAUUAAUAGGACAUCUUAUAUGAGACUUAUUUAAAAAAAUUCACAAGUAUGUUUGCUCCAUGAUUUUACUAUAUUACUCCUAAUUAAUUAGUGUAAGACAUUUACAUAUAAAAAAAUUAAUAAUAUUUAAUAAAUAAGAUAAAAUAGACAUUUAUGACAUGUCUACUUCACCUGCUUCAACCGUAAUUUUACUAAAUGUCACCUCUAAUUAAUUAUUAUAAGUCAUUUAAGUAUUAAAAAUUUAAUAAUAUUUAAUAAAAAUGAUAAGAUAGAUAUAAAAUGAUAAAUUAACUCUUUAUGUUUUAAAUUAACUUGACGUCUUCUAUGAUGACCAUUUAAUUUUUUUUACAAGAUUUUUUAUAGUAAUUUUUCUAAAUCAAUUCUUAUUAGUUGUCACUUAAGAUAUGUCUACUUCGCUGCUUCAAUCGUGAUUUUAUUAUAGCACCCUAAUUAAUUAUUAUGACCAUCUGAGCAUUAUGCCGCUUAAAAACUUAAAUUAUUUUAAAAUAUAACUGGCUAUUAAUAUCACAAAAGUUUGGACAAGGAGAGUAAUAUAGAAAAUUACAUAAGAAAUAUUAUAAAUCACAAUAGUUAACAAUUUAAAAUAUCUAAAAGAAAAAAAUUAAUAUGUUACAUAUUUCAAAAAAAAAAUUAAUAAAUACUAUAAAUCACACUAAUUAACAAAUAAAAAAAUUUAAAAGACAAAAUGUCUGCUUUGGGACAACUUUAUUAAUCCUUUGCCUUGCCUUCAUUUUUUCCUUCAUUUUAAUUUGUUUGUAUUUUUUUAAUCUGUUAUAUAUUUUAAAAAACAUAAAAAUUCUACAAAUCAUUAUAAUGAACAACUUAAAAAAUUAAAAGAUAUAAAAUAGUUGGUUGACUUUUGAAAUUCUAUCAGUGUCACUUAAAUUGGAAUAGAAGAAAAAGUAUUAUAAAUCACAAUAAUUAAAAACUUAAAUUAUUUUUAAAAUAUAAUUACUAUCAAUGCUACAAAAGUUUGGAUAAGGGGAGUAAUGUAUAUUAUAAGAAAAUUACAUAAAAGUAUUAUAAGUUACAAUAGUUAACAAUUUAAAAUAUCUAAAAAAAAUAAUUUGUUAUAUAUUCCAAAAAAAUACGUAAAAAAUACUAUAAAUUAUAGUAAUUAACAACUUAAAUUUUUUAAAGAAAUAAAAUAUUUGGUUGAGCUUCGAAAUCAUAUUAGUACCACUUAAAUUGGAAUAGAAGAAAGACAUUAUAAAUCACAAUAAUUAAAAACUUAAAUUAUUUUAAGAAUAUAAUUGACUAUUAGUGUCACAGAAGUUUGGACAAUGGGAGUAACGUAUAUUAGUUGAAAAUUAUAUUAAAAAAAAUUACAAAUUACAAUAGUUAACAAUUUAAAAUGUCUCCCAACUUAUUAUGCACUCUUAUAAUCUAGUAUCUAAUUAGUAUCAAAUUUUGAAUAUUUAUUAUUAAUUUUAAAAUACUCUGAAAAUAAUCGAUGUUGGGCCCUUGUCACGGGCUCCGUCCCCGUAGUAUUAGAAGAAAUACAAAUUAUAAUAUGUUCAUUGCUGUUAAUGCUAUUCAUCUUGAAAUAGCCAAAUCCUAUGAAAACUUCAAAAAAUAAAAAGAAGUGUUGCUAAUGUUGAAAAUUGUAGUACAAUUAUCGUCCCUCUACCAUAAUUUAUCGAAAUUCCCUGUUAAUUAUAAUUAUGCAAUUAGAUAUCCUAAAAAAUGAAACCAAAAAGGGGAAUUCUGGAAAUAUUUGAAGACAAGACAAUUGCAUCUCAUAAUAACAUAUUAUUAUAGUGUUCUACUAUACUUUAAUUUAUAUUUGGAUUUUUCUUUUUUUGGAUUAUUACUGUUAGAAUUUGAACAUCUUGUUAUGUCAAUUCUUAUGCCAUUGUGUGAAAUAUUAUAAUAAUUUUUAGUAGAGAUUUACAUGGAAGUAAUUUAACUUAAGAUUACACUAAGAUACAAAUAAAUAAAUAAAUUAUUUAGUCAACUUUAUUUCUGUUCGAUUUGAUUGAGAUGUAGCAACAACACAUCAAUAAGUCAAUAAUUUUACAUGGUCAUGGUGGCACCGUCGCCAGUUAGUCAUAAUUUAGGACUGGAAAAAUGGAUUAUUAUUUGCAGUUACACAUAUAGACAAAAAAACACAUAUCAAUCCACAUGUAAAACAAAGAAAAAAUUGUCAAACAAACAAAAACGAUUUUUUUAUAAAAAAAAAAAAAAAAGAACAAAAGCUCCUUUUAUUCUACUUAUUCAUGGGUAAAAAGAAAAAGAAACAGGUAAACAGUGAAUAAAUUUGGGGCAUGAAAGUACCUUGUGUAGGCGAAAACGUGAGCUUUCAACAUGUAUGACUACAUCAGUCUCAUUCCCAGUAACUUGGGACCUUAUAUGACAAUUUUAAAACAAAAAAAAAAUAAAAUUACAAAUUAAAAAUCAAGAGUUAAUCAUGUUCAAUUGAAUAUAAAUUUACUUGGAAUCAGUAGUAAAUCAUACAUAUAAAUCGAUUAAUAAUAAUCUAGAAGAGACAGAUUACUUGUUACAACAAGUGUUAUCAAUCGCGUACAAGUUAAAAAUUCUUACCAGGAAACGACCCUGGAGCGGGGAGGUGAAGGAGAUGGAGAGAUUCCUGGAGAAAUAGAAACAGAAGAAUCAUCGGAAUCUUCGACAUCGUCUUCGUAGAUAGUAUCCACAAUCCCUAAUUCUGCCCAAUUUCUGAUGUUUUCCAUGGCCACGGGCCUUCAAUUUUUCACCUUAUAAUAGUUACCACUGCUGCUAAAACGUUACGUUUUUUGUUUAGGAUGUUAGGGGCCAGGUUCUAAGUAGUGGAGAAACCAAGGAGAAGGAGGAGGUGAAAAAGAGAAUUAUUCCCCCGCUGGUAAUAAUAAUGUAGUUGGGGGAGCAUUAAUUAUUUGCAGGUAAGGUAAUAAAUGUCCUUGCCUUAAUAAUCUUUUGGGUUUUGGAAAUUCAAAAUUACUUGCUUCCUUUUGUGAGUACUCCUACUAACUGAUGAAUGGUGAUUUUAUUCCUUUAUGAUCUAAUCUGCUUUCUCUUGUAAAUCUCCACUUUCCUUACAUACAAAACAGCCAUCAAAGUUCAGACCCUGAGUAGUCCACUUGGCUGGAAAGCUUCAUUGGAUGGAAGACAAAUUAACUAAUUUACUAAAAAUAGAAUCCAAUGAUGUGGUCUUGUUUUUCUGUUGAAAAGAGAUGUACUAGGCCCUCUUACCAAAUGGCAACCAAAGAAGAACCCCUUGAUCACCUUAAGGAAAAAACUAUAAGAUAUAUAUUUUUGGCACGAAUCUGAAUUAGUGGACGUUCAAUAAAUUCUAAAUAUGUAUACAUAAAGAGAAAGAAGAAAAAAAAGAUGUGUAAGCUUGUCUAUCAAAUGAUAAUGGGAAAUAAUAGACUGUUACUUGAAGCUAUUGAAGGAAGGAUGGAUUCACCCAAAAAAAAAAGGAAGGAAGGAUGGAAGACAUCACUUUCAGGAGCGGUGCAUGUAGUUGUGCCAAAUUGAACUAAAUGAAAGACUCAUUCAAAGGGGGUGUUAAUUGAGUAAUUAUUAUUGUUAAGGAAAUCUUAAAUUGUUUUUGUUUAUGUUUGUAUUAAAUUAAUAUUCAUGGUUGUUACGUUUGGUUGACAACUUGUCAUAGCGUUAUGUGUGAUGCAUCAUCCCCAAAUUAAGGAAAAUAUAAAUAGAGCAAUGAUUAAUUUUCUGCUUUGUUUUUCUCUUUGUUUGACGGUCAAAGAAUUUUUUUAAAUAGUUUAAAUAGGAAGUGUAAUCGGAGUAAUAAGAAUUAUUAAUCAAUAUUUACAAAACAGUCAAAUAUCUAACCGAAGAAUUGAUUAGAAUUUUUAUUCCUUUGUCUCUUUGUUGAUCAAUGUAUGGAAGCUUAAGAAUAACACUAAAAUUAUCUUCGUAUAAUUUGGAUUAUAGGUGUGUAUUGUAAUACUAACUAUUGAAGCGCAUGUUAUGAUAGAUUGUCUAUAUUAUAACCUUCGAAUUGCAAUUUUUUUUUUAAACUCAACGCAAUAAAAAAUUACUUAACGGACCAACCUAUUUUUCUAGUUUCUUUGUUGCUCAAUGAGAUUUUCAAAAAGUUAAUAUUAUAAGGUUUCGGUAACCAGCAAAAGAAUGUAUUGCAUUGUAUUGGGACAAAAGAAUUAAGAAAAGAAUUUAUAGGCCACUUAUAAUUUUUUUUAGUUCUAUUGCCUUUUCAUAGAAUAUCUUCAUUUUUACGGGUAGAAAAUUAAAGUGAAAAUUAUUCUUAAUAGAUUUAUUAGAUUGUUAAUUAUAAGUUAUAACAAAAUAUUUUAUUAAUUACUAUACUAAAGAAAUAAUUACAAGGUAUAGCAAUUUUUUAGAAAAAUCUAUUUUAAUUAAAUAUCUAAAAAUUAAUUUUCUAAUAUAUAUUAUUCAUAUUAUUUCCUUAUUUUUAGCAUUUAACAUUUAUCACUCUUAAUUAAAGAUUUGGAUAAUUAUGGCAAGUAGGGGUGUACAAACCAAACCGCUACGUCAAACCGAACCAAUGAAUCAAACCAAACUGAGGGAAAAAACCGAUUUAUGAUUUGGUUUGGUGUUGGAAAAAAAAAUCAAUCAUUCUUGGUUUGGUUUGGUAUUAGCAAAAAUAAAAUGAAACCGAACCGACAUAAUACAUAUAUAAUUUUAAUUUCUUAUGCGUAAAAAAAUACUACUUAUAAUCUACUUUCUAGUUACUUUUUUAUAUUCAGAAAAUAGAUAUAUAUUCUUGGCCUUUAAUUAUAAUAUUUGUUCAUUAGUAACAAAUUAAUACAAAGCCUAAUUUUAAUAUAAAAACGGGUAAAAUUCAGAACUGACAUACUUGAGGUCGUAAUUAUUAAUUUUAUAGCAACAGUUUCAUAAUUACAUUUUGUAGCAACUUGUAUUAUGUAUUUUUAAAAAUUGUUGCUAUAAAAAUACAUAUACAACUAAUUUUACCUCCCUUAAAUAACUGAAAUUGGUUGAGAUAAAUAUGAUAUAAUUAUCAAUUAAUUUUGUAGAUUCCUUUUCUGUUAAAACAACUUCAAUCACGCGAUUUUCGUUUUAGCUUAACAGCAUUGAUCAAAUUUCAAAUUUCAGUUUUCUCCAUUAACGAGUUCAUCUGAGAAAAAAAUAAUCAAACCUGUUUUUCGUUUUUAUGAGCAAUUUUGUCUAAUUCAACCGUGUUUUUAUGUUCAACCAUUGUUGUUGUUCAUAUGAAAUUCUACAGUAUCUUCUUCGAAUUCAACAUCAGUUUCAAAAUGAAGCAUUAAUUUCUUUGAAUCAAAUUCAAUUAUAGAUUCUUCAGUUCAAAUUGUUCAAAUUCAACUAUCAGUUGAAAAUUGAUCCGUUACUGUUGUUUAAGGUAUGUAAUCACUAAGUGUUUCCGGUUGGAUUUUUUAUUUUAGCCAUUACUGAUGCUUCUAUUUAGUUUCGAUUUAUAAUCAAAGCAGGAGGAAAUUCAACAUAUGUAACAAAAACAUUCAGAAUUGAACUUUUUCGUUGCAAAAUUUCAGUUUAGAAGUUGUUUCAAUUAUUUAGAUUUCAUUGUUCGACUAUUUAUUUCAGUAUCGGUUGUUGUUAUUUUGAUCAAUUUAACAAUUGAUCAAAUUGUGAAGCUCUCCGAUUAUGAAAAUAAUUUAAACAAAUUUCGCAUUGAUUUGAUUCAAUUAUUUUCUGAAAAUCCUUGAUGAAUGGAUGAUUGAAUUGAGCUGCUGAAUGUGAUGAAAUUCUAUUCACACAUUUCAAAAUACAAAUUAGGUAUGCUCUAUAUGUAUUUUUUGAUAUGUUUAAUGUUAACACCGCAUAUGUAUUUUUGAACUGCUUAAUGUUAGCACUGUAUAUGUAUUUUUGGUUUGCUUGUCAGAAUUUGAGAGUAUAACUGUUUUUGCUAAAAAUAUAUUUUAUACAAAUUUUUCUUCGGUUAGAUUCAAUAGUUUUUGUAUUUGCUUUAAAACUUUUUUUGUGUUUGUAUUUUACGUUAAACAAAUUUUGUUUAAAUUUAUUUUUUGAAUGGAAAUGUUGGCUGUGUAAGUUUGUUUGCAGUUAAAGCUGAAAAGUGUUUGUUUUAACAAGUUACAAUUUGACAAAAUGUUUAUAUUUGUUUAUUUUUUGGUUAAAUCAAGUAGAAAUGGGAAGUAUACCAGUGCUUGUGAAACACUCUGGUCGAUGGACGUAUGAAAAAAACUACGAAGAAUAUGUACUUGAUGCUAUACUGUUGAGCACAUCAACAACAUUCAUUGAGCUACACGAUGAAUUGAAUCUUACUUAAGUGUGGAUUUAACGAGGAAACAUAUUCUAGUGGAAUAUCAAAUUACUGCUAAUACAGGGCAGAUAGAAAUACAUAAUGAUGUAGGUUUAAAAGUGUUUAUAUUUCAAAAAAAGCAGAUAGAAGACAUGAAUUGUCUUCUUUUAUAUGUAAGCAUUUGGAGAAAGUUUAGGGAGCAACGUGGAAAGUUCAUCUAUAUAUGUUGCUGAAAGAAUAACCAAUUGUGACAACAUUCAAACAUUGAUAAAUACAACAAAUGAAGGAUCUUUGGUGGUUUGUGAAGAUACACAAGCAUUAGAUGUAUUUGAAAUGGAUACUGUUGAGUUGAUUAUCUCAGAUCCACAUCACAAGCAUGUUGAGGAAGAUCAGGUUUACUUGAGAAAUUUUUUUUUAAGGACUAUUCAAUUAGGGAGAAGUUUCAAACGCGAAGUAAAAGGUCAAGUAAGAAAACCUACGUACAUUCUAUAUCACUCUGUUCUUUUUUAAUAUUAAUUUGGAUAUGUAUUUUGAAAAUACUAAAUUAUGUUGUAUGCAGGUAUACGUUGGUUUGCAAAUCAAGAAACUGCGAGUUUUUAAUGCAUGCAUCAGGAAUGGGAGAAACUGGAAUGUUUAGAAUAAGAGCAUUCAGACCUCAACAUAUAUGCCAGGUGAAGAACAAGAUCUAUCCAAAGGUGCAUGCUACUAGUAUGUUGAUAAGUGGAUGGUUAAACAAAAAUUCAAGAACCACAAAAUAAAAUACAGUGCAACAGAAAUUAAAAAUGACAUGAAGGAAGAUUUUAGUAUGGAUCUGAAAUACACUUUAUGCUGGAGGGCGAAAGAAAGAGCGUUAGAAGAGUUAAAGGGUAAGCCAUCAGCAUCUUAUGGGAAACUAUCAUCAUACUUAUAUGUACUGAAUACUACCUAUCUAGAGUCACAUAUAAGAAUGAAGAAGACAUAUGAAAAUGAGUUCUUGUAUGUAUUUAUCGCUCAAAAUGCAUUCAUUAAAGGAUUUGAUCAUUGUAGACGAGUUGUAGUUGUUGAUGCUAGUCAUCUGAGAGGAAUGUAUACUGGGGCAUUUGUAACAGCAUGUACAAUGGAUGGAGCAGGUUAGUAUGAUUUUAUAAUAAUUUCUGCGUAUCACCUGAAAAUACAUAUCUCCACUAGAUAUAUACAUAUCUGUAUAAAAUUACCUAUAUUUUCGAAGUUUCAUGAAUGAAAACAUGUAAAAUUGAUUAUGUUUUAUAGUUAUGUGUGUCUAAAUUUUAUUAUAUGUAAUUGAUACUAUUUAUUUGAUAAAAUAUAUAAUUUUAAUUACCUGUAUAUUUAAUAAAUACAUAUGCAGUUCCUAUAUGUAUUUUUAUUUUACUACACAUAACUAUUUUGUAUAUACAGGUCAUAUAUUCCCUCUGGCAUAUGGUGUGAUUGAUUCUGAAAAUGAUGCAUCAUGAACGUGGUUCUUUCAAAAUCUAAAGAAAGCAUACGGGGGGGAAAAAUAAAACAUGUGUGUUGUUUCUGAUAGGAAUCCAAGCAUCAUAAAAGCUGUUAGCGAUGUCUGUUUUGCAAAAAUUUUGACUUUUGAAAAGAGUCGCCAUUUAAUUUCGAAAAGGAAUUAAGAAACCUAUAAAGAGUUACUUCAAAAUGAUUCAAAACAGGAAAAUCAUUUUAAUUUAGAGAUUCCGAGUAAGUAGUUUCUAUUAACGUUUUAGGAAGGUGUUAGGCACCUAAAACGUCCGCUAGCUUGCGAUUAUCCGAACUGAUUGAAAACGUCUUUUGACUAACUUCAGAAAAAGGUUAAUUUGUCGAAAAGUGAUUGAUUUUUGAAAAGAAAGUGAUUUUGAAAAUAUUUUGGUGUUUAUGCAAAACUAGUUUUUUAGCGACUUAACUAAGGAUUUAACUAGGUUCGCCAAACACAUAAGGAAAAGAAGCGUAAAGAAAAAUGGAAAGGGGAGAAAGUAAGGGAUUUAGGCCAAUAGGCCCAAAUCAAUAAAACCUGUCCUAGUCUAAUUGGGCUUUCGACCCAUUUCACCUGUCCUAGUCUAGUUUAUGAGUCGUUGGCUCGAAUCUCGCUCCACCUGUAUUAAAUACAACUUUGGCUUCGAGGCCGAAAUGAAUGAAUGAGUUAAUAAACAAACAAAAUAAACGAGGACAACAACAAAUAAAACAACAGACGAGACUUUUGUCUCUUAUCCGCUUCGAAUGUAGGAUUUCAACCUCUUCUUUCUUCUUCUGACUCCCUAUAUUCAUAUACCAUGAGAUCGAGAUUUGAAUGUUCUCAAAGAGUUGAUUCGACGAGGUAAAUGUAAUCAAGAGUUCAUGACGAACUUAGCCACAACAAGUUCACAUGCAUCAAAAUAAAGGGGAAAAGGAUUAAUUGCACGUUAUGACCAACCGUAACUAAUUACACGUUAUAAUUAAACUGCAAAUGAUAGUUUAGAAAGCUGAUACCCAAGACAGUCCAAAAUAACAUGAAAGAAUCUUAGGAUUCAUUAUCUUAUUUAAGAUAGCAUUUGGAAAAGAAAAAAAAAUAAAAAAAUUCAAAGUUUGAGCAUACCAUAUUCUUUUAAACGAUGGCAUCGACAAAACAUCAAUUUGCAAAUGACAAAGAAGACACUAAACUAACUUCAGACCACAGAGUUCAAUACAGAACAAAUCCAGCUCAAUUCUAAAAAAAAAAAAUAUACCAAGAACCACCAGUGUUCUACCGAAUGGUAUACGAUUUAAAUCAAUGAAAUUUACGGGUGUAUUUUACUAAAAUAGAGCAGAACCUGAAACUAUAAUCGAGCUGAUUCGAAUCAAAAUCAGAAGAAAAAAGUAGUCAUGGUAACAAAUCAAUAGCCAUGAAAGGGUUCCUACAAACUUAUCAACUUAUAAGACUGCCAAUACGAUGAUCUAAAGAAGAUAGAUGAAGCAAAAGGUAAAGGUAAAGAUACAUAGCAAAACAACGUACUAAUUCGAAUAAGACUGUCUAAAACCAAAUAAAUAGUAGGUAAGUAGUCACGAAAUGAUUCUAAACUAUUUCAUCAAAUUAAAUAUCUUGAAUCAACCCUUUUCUCUUCUUGUCAAGUAAUGCAAGGACGUAAACCGCAAGAUAUUGGGGAUCCUUAGGAUCAGCGUCAUGACCUCAUAAAAAGAACUUACAAAUCUCUUUCAAUAUCACGAAUCGGAAAGACCUUACGAUUUUCAGUUAAAUCACGUAAACCACUAUUGACCGUAGAAAAAUCAAGGACAACAAGCUUCUAAAAUUCCCACUUUUAAUCCUAAAAAAAAAAUCUCAAACUGCUGAAGGUUGCAAAAGAAACAAAACAAACUAAAAAAUAUUCGCAAUAACAAGCUUAAAAGUCUAAUUGCAGGCAUUCGACUAAUCAUGGUCUUGCAAAACUUUGAGAGUUUUAGACCUUGAAAUUAAUAACUAAAAGAAAUGUACGAACCAUCCUCGGGGGAGAAUAUACACAUAGAAAUGAUUUUGGACAUUGACACGACCAAAUACAUUCUCAUGUUUAAAAUUAUUCAACAAAACCAUUUUAUUCUUUCAUGGACUUCAAACUUCAAACUGAGAAGACUAUUGGCCUGAAAUGAACCCAAAGCAACCAAUCAAUCUUCAAAAAUUUACUAAAAAGGGAAACACAAUUAGUGAACUAAAGGAAGGAGCCAAUGAGAUUCAAUAUCUUUUUGUUCUCCUCCCUAUUUUGAUAGGCUCAAACGAAAUGGCCAUCGAGGAGAUUCUAGGAUCUCCUGGGAACCUUUCACUGUUAGACACAUUUUGGUCAUUCUUUUUGACAUUUGCAUUGCCAAAGGAACUCGCAAAAGUGGUCUUGCUAGCGAUAUUGCCAACUAAAUAUAAGGGAAACAACUCAAACAAAACCAACAUUCAAAAAGCCAGUGAAGCGAAAAAUUUGAAAUAGGAAUCUCUAUCGAACUCAGUACGUCAAACUUAGAAGCAAUAUACAAUACAAAGCAACAAAUUGGAAGAUAAUUAGCGAUGGCAAAAUCAAGUAACCAAUUAUGAAAUUGAGACACGUAAAUGAGACUGAAAACCAAAUUUUAACGACUGGACCUGGCGUUUAGCAUCAAUUGUAAUCACAUGACAAAACAUUCCUUCAUCCAACGUAUCCCACAGUCUUACAGGACCUCUACAACAGACAACCCAGCAUACACGAUAGUCUUAAAUUGCUUAAGAUAACAGACUAAAGAGAUAAAACAGAAGCAAUCUUAAGAUUAAAGAAAUAGGACGUUACCUUUCAAAGAGCAGCUUACGGGAUGAUGAGCUAUCAGCAAAAUUGUCACUACCGGAAUCUCGCUACCGAAAUCUCGCGACGUCGACCACCAAUAGAGCAUCUUUUUGCUUUUUCCUCUUAAAGAUUUUGAAACCCCCCAGAUUUUCAACUAAAUAUUUUCAACCUACAUUUAGAAACUCCAAAAAAAAAUUCCUUUCUCUGUUUUCGAAUCAGAACCUCCCUCAGAAGAUUUCCCUCUUUUUGAAACCUUAAUUUUGGACCCUAGAAUUUCCCAUCCAAAAGAAAAGAAAAAGCCCCCAAUUUUCUAUACUCUCCGUGUUCCUCCCUCCCCCCUUUUUUUCCUUUCAAGAAACAAAGGCCCUCCUAUAUAUAGAAGGUGGAAGAAAGGGUCUUUUGGGAUUUUAAAUUCAAAAUCCCUUUUCCAGCUUGGCGUUUCAUCAGUAGUUGUACCAAUUUGGAAAUGGUGAAAAUAAAUUCUCCCCCAGACGCAAUGAGAAAUCGCCAAAUAUGUACCUAAUUCGUACCCCCCAUCCCGAAAUUCGUGGAGUUGAACGUUGGGGGAGACACCUGGACUGUUUCUAGAAGAUUUUGGAUUCUUUGUUUCUCUUAGUGACGCGUGAGAUGCGUGAAGAAGGAUAGGGUCGGGUUGAAACCGGUUUUCUCGAUUUUGGGUCGAAGAUGUUCAUCGCGAUUUCGGGUUGAAGCCGGUUUUCUCAAUUUUGGGUCGAGAGAUAUCGGGUUUGAUGUUGUUAUUGCUUUGCUUGGGGAGGGAAGAGGGAUUACUGAUGUUGGUGUUCCGCGUAUUGUUGAAAAUGGGUUGGACAGAAAUGGGUCGCGGAGAAAUGGGUUGAAACUAGUGUUGUAGUUGUUU
rnacentral:lncRNA from 1 species